GCCUUUGUGGAAGGGAGACAAAUAUUGGAUGCUGUAUUGAUAGCCAAUGAAGUGGUGGAUGAGAAAAGAAGGUCAGGAGAGGAAGGGGUAGUUUUCAAAAUUGAUUUUGAGAAGGCCUAUGAUCAUGUGGAGUGGGGCUUUUUAGAUCAUGUGCUUCAAAGGAAGGGGUUCAGCCAGAAAUGGAGAUCUUGGAUGAGGGGUUGUUUAUCUUCUUCUAGUUUUGCUAUCCUAGUUAAUGGGAAUGCAAAGGGUUGGGUUAAGGCCUCUAGAGGAUUGAGACAGGGAGAUCCUCUUUCUCCUUUCCUUUUUACUCUAGUAGCAGAUGUUCUAAGUAGGUUGAUGAUUAGAGCUGAGGAAACUGGGAUAACUGAGGGUUUCCUUGUGGGGAGGGAUAGGACUAGAGUGUCCUUGUUACAGUUUGCUGAUGAUACCAUAUUUUUCUCUAAAGCCUCUUUGGAUCUUCUUCAAAACCUUAAGAUCAUCCUUUUGGUUUUUGGGCAAGUAUCUGGUUUAAAAAUCAACUUAGAAAAAAGCACCAUUUCAGGUAUUAACACUAGGCAGAAAAUGUUGUCUAGUUUGGCUUUGGUUUUGGAGUGCAGAGUGUCAGAGUGGCCUUUGUCUUAUUUAGGCCUUCCUUUAGGAGGGAACCCAAAGACAAUAGGAUUUUGGGAUCCAGUGGUUGAGAGAAUUUCGAGGAGGUUGGAUGGGUGGAAAAAGGCCUAUUUGUCUUUGGGAGGGAGGAUUACUCUAAUUCAGUCUUGUCUGUCUCACAUCCCUAGGUACUUCCUUUCCCUCUUCAAAAUCCCUGUAUCUAUAGCUUCAAAGAUUGAGAAGAUGCAAAGGGAUUUUCUUUGGUCUGGGGCCGGGGAAGGGAAGAGAGAUCACCUAAUCAGAUGGGAGGUUGUCAGUAGACCAAGGGAGAUGGGAGGUUUGGGCUUUGGGAAGACUUCUAUGAGAAAUAGUGCCCUCUUAGGGAAAUGGCUUUGGAGGUUUCCUAGAGAAAGGAGCGGUCUUUGGCAUAAGGUUAUUGCGAGUAUAUAUGGGACACAUCCUAAUGGAUGGGACGCCAACAUGGUGGUUAGAUGGUCUCACAGAUGUCCUUGGAAGGCUAUUGCUCAAGUUUUCCAAGAGUUCUCCCCUUUUGUUCGCCUAGUGGUGGGCAAUGGGGAGAGAAUUUGGUUUUGGGAAGAUCUUUGGUGGGGAAACCAAACUUUGUGUGCUCAAUUUGCUGAACUCUACAGAGUUAUUUCUGUGAGAAACCUUACUGUCUCAAACGUCCUUGGCAAUUCCUUUCCAUUGUCUUGGAAUUUUAAAUUUCGCCGCAAUCUAACGGAUUCAGAAAUUGAUCUCCUUCAGAGAUUAAUGUCCUCUCUUCAUUCUGUGCUUCUUUCCCCUUCCUCAUCAGACUCAAGAGCGUGGUCUUUGUCUUCGUCAGGCUCGUUUUCAGUGAAAUCUUUUUUCUAUGCCUUGUCAAAAGAUUCAAAUCCUUUAAUGUUCCUUCCGACCAAGUUUUUAUGGAGCUCAAAAGUCCCUUCAAAGGUUAAGGCCCUCGCUUGGUUAGUAGCACAUGGGAAGGUAAACACUAAUGACAAGUUGCAAUUGAGAAGACCCUACAAAGCCCUCUGUCCUCAAUGGUGCAUUCUUUGCAAAGGAAAUGGUGAGUCGAUUGACCACCUUUUUCUUCAUUGUCCCGUCACCAUUGGACUUUGGCACAGGUUGUUCAAUUUAGUAGGUGUGAUUUGGGUUCCUCCAAGGAGCAUUGAGGAUAUGUUGGUUAUUUCCUUUAAAGGUUUGGGGAACUCAGUAAGAGGCAAGAUUCUUUGGCAAAUUGCUUGCCUUACUUUGAUUUGGAUGGUGUGGCAAGAAAGGAAUAAUAGAAUCUUUGAGGAUAAAGGGAGAACGGAAGAGGUGGUUUGGGAUUUGAUUCGGUUUUACUCUUCUCUGUGGGCUUCUUGUACUGAAGCUUUUAGAGGAGUUCCUCUAAGCAUUCUACAAAUCAAUUGGAUUGGGGUUUGCGUUUCAAGAGUUUGAAGUUUGUUGGGUUUUAUUUUGUUUUUAGUUUUCUAUUGUUGGGUGUUUUCCUUGGUUCUUGUGUAGGAAGGACCUCUCAUCCUUCCCUUGGUUUUUUUCUCUUUCUUUUGUCUCUUUUUUCUCUUCUGUAUUUGUUCUUUUAUUAAUAUAAUCUUUUUCGUUUCUGAUCAAAAAAAAAAAAAAAAGUUAAAAAAAAAAAACCAUCAUUUAAUCAGAAAUUGAAAGCCAUUACAUAUUAACAUGCCAAUAGGUAAAUUUAUAAUAUAUCUAUUGCUUAGGCAAUGAAAUAACUGCAACCCUAUGGUAGAAUCAGUAAAAUGAAUCAAAAGCUCUAAAAAAACCAUCAUUUAAUCAGAAAUCAGGAACCAUUACAUAUAAACAUGCCAAUAUGUAAAUUUAUAAUAUAUCUAUUGCUUAGGCAAUGCAAUAACUGCAAACCUAUGGUAAAAUCAGUAAAAUGAAUCAAAAGCUCUAAAAAUAAAGAUAAAAUAAAACAAAAGAUGAUCACAUAUGAUUAUAAAACAUUUUUCAAGCAAUUUCCAAGUAAACAAUCAAAUUAAAAGUUGGAGUUAUAGUUCUUACAUAUUUCAAGAAGAAAUUUCAGAUCGUAAUUAUUUAUUCAAGCACAACCCAUCACAAUUUAAAAAAGGGUGAUUUCUCUAAUAUGUCCUAGAAGUAACUUAGAAGUUCAGAACCAUUUUUUUUUUUUUUUUACAUAAUAACAAAAAUACAUCAGAAAAAUAAAAUUAAGAAAGACAAAUUAAUUGUUCAUGAUAUUGCUUUCGAUUGUGUGGCAAGAGAGAAAUGCUUGGAUAUUUGAGGAAAAGCAGAGGUUGGUAGAGAUGUUGUGGGAUCUACUUCACUUCUAUUCCACCUUUUAGGCCUCUUGUACCAAUGCAUUUAAAGGCACUCCACAUACUAUUAUUCAACUUAAUUGACUUUCUGUUUGUAAUUCAAAAGGGUAUAGUGAGAGGAGCUUUAUUCGGGAUUGAUGUAUAUCCUUAAGUGGACUAAACUUUUUAUAUAGGUUUCCUUGUAUAGUGGGGGAGUUUAGUCAUUCUUUGAUCAACUUCUUAUAUUUUGUGGGGAAGACCCCUUAUCCUUCUCAUUUUCUUUUUAUCUAUAAUUAAUACAUUUUGUCUCACCCAUAUGCCAUGUUACUUUCUCUCCUUGUUUAAGAUUCCCGCCUCAGUGGUAGCAAAAAUUGAGAGAUUGAUUUUUUAUGGUCAGGAGUAGGGGAAGGCAAAAGAGAUCAUCUGGUUAGUUGGGACGUAGUAUGUAAGCCGAAGACGAAAGGGGGAUUGGGAUUUGGAAAGAUUUCUGUAAGGAAUGUUGCUCUCUUAGGGAAGUGGUUGUGGAGAUAUCCUAGGGAGGGUUCAGCUCUGUGGCAUCAGGUUAUUUUAAGCAUUUAUGGAUCACACUCCAAUGGUUGGGAUGCCAACAAUGUAGUCAGAUGGUCACAUCGUUGUCCUUGGAAGGCCAUUGCACAAGUCUCCCAAGAGUUUUCCAAGUUUACUUGGUUUAUGGUAGGAGACAGGGAUAGAAUUCGGUUCUGGGAAGACUUGUGGUGGGGGGACCAACCUUUGGGGGUCCAAUAUCCAAGACUACUUAGUGUAGUCACGGAUAAAAAUACUCAUAUUUCUUCAAUUCUUGGAUCUACUCACCCAUUCUCUUGGAACUUUAACUUUCGUCGAAAUCUUUUCGAUUAUGAGAUAGAAGAUUUAGAAGGCCUCAUGCGGUCUCUUGAUCGUCUACAUAUAUCACCUGCGGUUCCAGAUAUGAGAUCCUGGUCUUUAUCUCCUUUUGGACUUUUCACAGUCAAAUCUUUCUUUCUUGCCUUAUCUCAAUUUUCUGAUUCGCCUCCAGUUUUCCCUACUAAGUUCGUCUGGAAUUCUCAAGUCCCCUUCAAAGUCAAGUCCUUUGUCUGGUUGGUGGCUCACAAGAAGGUUAAUACUAAUGACUUACUACAGUUGAGAAGACCCUACAAAGCACUUAGUCAUGACAUUUGUAAGUUGUGCAUGAAGUAUGGAGAAACAGUAGAUCACCUUUUUCUCCAUUGCUCUUUGAUGAUGGGGUUGUAGUACAAAUUAUUUCAAUUAGCAAAGACGGAUUGGGUCCCCCCAAGGAGCAUCUCUAACAUGUUAUCUACUAAUUUUAAUGGUUUUGGAUCUUCUAAGAGAGGGAUUGUUUUAUGGUAAGACGCGUACAUCGCUUUAAUGUGGGUGGUGUGGCGGGAAAGAAAUGCAAGGAUUUUUGAGGAUAAAGCAAGGAAUUCAGAGAAUCUUUGGGAUUCUAUUCGUUUCCUAACUUCUCUUUGGGCUUUUUGUUCUAAGGUUUUUAAGGGGAUACCUUGUAACGUGUUACAACUUGAUUGGUUAGCGGUGUGUAAUCCCAAUGGGUUGGUCUAACUAGAGUGUUUGCUUGUUUUUUCUUUGUAUUUUCUUAUAUUUGAUUACAUGUAGUCUUGUUUUUCUUUGGUGGGAGGAUUUCUCAUCCUUCUCUUGUACUUCCUUUUUAUCAAUAUAUUCCUUUGUCGUUUCCUUUCAAAAAAAAAAAAGAAGAAAGUAAUUGUUCAUGACAUUCAAAUAACUAACUCUUCAAAGGUGCGUUAAUCCUCAACUCUAUAUAAUGUCUUUGUACACAAAAUGAAAUGGAUAUUAAUACGACACUAUUAAAUAAUAUGUGUUUAUAUAUAUGUAUAUAUAAAAUUUAAAUUUUAUACAAAUAUAUAAUCAGGUUUGAGUUAGACUUGGGUUGCUUGAGCCACUCAACCCAAAUUGACAAUUUUUUGUCCAAGAACCAAAAUUACAAAUUAAGUUGCUUAGACUCGUAAAAAGUCAGAUAAAGUUGAGUUAAACUUAACCAAGUUGUAGCCCCACUUUCAACCGAAAAUCUAUGAGGAUGGUUAUAGCCUUAAAAAAUGAAUUGAGCAUAGAAAAUCAUGUAGUCUUAAUAAAGGAUCAUAAUAAUGGUAUAACUUAGGGGUGUUUAAAAUUUGUUAUAAAUGCCACUAGCAUGAAGCUUCUCACUUAGCAAUUGGUUUGCUUGUGGGUUGGGUGAUUUAAGAAUUUAAGUGAAAUGACAACCAACUAAAGGAGUUACAACCCAUUGAAAUGUCAAUAUUUUUUCUUCCAACUAUUCAUCUAGUUUUUGAGGCCUUCUCUUCCUCUAAACUACAGAAGAAAGAACUGAAAGUGCACUUGCUAGCACCUCAAAUCUUGAAGUUCCUACUUCAUUUAUUGUUUAUUUUUAUCUUAUAAUUUAUAAUUUAGGUAUGGUAGGGGUGGUGCCUGUAAAUAAGUUGAACUUUUUUUCCUGUCCAUUUGUUUUUAUUUUGUUUCCUUUUUGAUAGACAAAGACAAGUUUAUUCAAAGGACCUAUCAAGAAGAAAUAUGCAACCCAAGAACAUUGGAUGUACAUAAAAUGUGUCAAAAGUGGCUAAGGCAAAGGAAAAAUAGAAAUCUAUACAAUGGUCAUAACCCUUCCUACACAAUUGAAUAUAUUUAGAAAGGAAGUGACCUUACAAUCUAAAGAAGCCUUUGAUUAAGAGUACAUAGUAUUGGUAAAGACAUUUUUCACCAACAUAUAUAAACUCUCUACACCCUCAAAACAAUAUAAUUAUUUUAAUGGGCUACCAUAAAUAAAUGCUCAUUCACUGGUAGGGAUGAAUGCACAAAUCUAAAAUGUAAAAAAGAAAAAUUUCCUGUGGAAAACCUUGAAGGAGGGGUUAAACUAUGUGAUGAACUAUUUAAAGCAAUAUCCUAAUAGAGUUAAACAAGUAAAAGAAUUGGUAAACUAUUGAUUUUUCUUGUUUAUUUAUUUUUUUACCUUGUAGGAGACAGAUUGAAGAUUUUAUUUUUGGAAGGAUUUUUGGUAGGGCUAGCAACCACUUAGUGUUCAUUUUCCAAAUAUCUUUAGGGUUGCAAGAACACCUUUCUUUUUUCUCUCAUUAGUGGAAUUUUAAUUUUUGUCAUAAUCUUUCCAUCUAGGAAUUUGAGGAGCUAGUAUCUCUCUUGUCCUCACUAUUCCACAUAUGUUUUUUGCUUACCUUUCCAAAUGUGAGAAUUUGGUCUUUGAACACUUUAGUUUUUUACUUAGUUAAUCUCUUUUUCAAAGCUUUGUCUAUGUUUGUCAAUUUGAUUACCUUUUUUAUUGGUCAAUUUCAUUUGAACUCAAAAGCCCCUCUUAAAGUUAAGCUUUUGCAUGGAUUGUGACAACAAAGAAAGUUAAUACCAAUGACAUGCUCCAAAAGAGAAGGCCUUUUAAUGAUUUUUGGCCUGAUUGUUAUGUUAUGUGCUUGGCUAGCAGUGGAACCUUUUUGACCAUCUUUUUUUACACUACCUACUAGCUUUGAGACGGUGAAAUAAGCUAUUCCCACUUAGUAGGCUUGUUUGGGCAUAUCCCCUAAAAGUGUGACAUAGAUGAUAGUUGUGUCCUUCAUAGGCUUUUAAGGUCUUUGGAGAGGUCAGUUUUUGUGAUUGUGAUUUGGACUAUUUAUUAAGAAUGGAAAUUUUUGAGGAUGGAUGGAGAUCUAUGGAGGCUCUUUAGGACUCGAGUUCUAUACUUCUUUGUGGACUUCCACCACAAAUGCAUUUGCUACUAUCUCGUUGAGGUUGUUAACGCUAGAUUGGAAUCAUAUUUGUAGAUUAAAGAAGUGGGAUACUUGAUCUAUCUUGUAAUGGAUGGUUUUUUGUUGUGGUCGUUUCAUGGGUGGCAAAUAAGGAAAGAGGUUCUUAGAGGCUUGACGGGUGGCUAUGCCAAAUGUUUUAUACUGUUAUAGAGUUGGGAUGCUCUACUUGCUAGGUUCCUUGUGUAGAAGAGAGAUUGAAGAAUAAAAGGUAGAAAAUUCCUUGAUUCUUCUUCUUUUUAAUCUAUACAGAGACCCGUACAUAUAUACAUUCCUAGCACCAAAAUUAGUAACCUUCAUAACCUAAUUACAACCAAUCCCUUCGAUUACACCUAAUUCACUUCCUAAUUACAAUAUUAUACAAUUACAACUUUCUAAUUUCAUUAUUCCACACUCCCCCUCAAGCUGGUGAAUAAAUGUUUUUCAUUCCUAACUUGGAUAUACUUACUUGAAACUUUGUACUGCUUAAAAUUUGGUGAGUAUAUCUGCAAGUUAGCGGUCAAUAGACACAUAAGGAGUACAAAUCAAUCCACUAUCUAGCUUUUCCUUAAUAAAAGGUUUGUCUAUCCCUAUGUGCUUUGUUCGAUCGUGUUGCAUUGGAUUGUGUGCAAUACUGAUUGCAGAUUUGUUGUCGUAGUAAAGUCUCAUUGGGCCAUCCCAUUGAAUAUUCAAAUCUUUCAAAAUGAUCUUCAACCAAAGUAGUUCACAUGCUCCCUAAGCCAUUGCGCUAAAUUUUGCCUCUUUGUAGAAACUGAGAAUGAUUUUUAAAAUUCAUUCAAAACUAUAUUUUUUACAUUCAAAACUGAGAAUGCUCCCUGAGCCAAGCAUGAGUCACACCAACCCUUGCUAUUUCUAAUUCAAGCAUCUUUUUACAUUAAAUAUUGAAAAAUCUGGAAAUAGUGCAUCGGGAUGAUGUUUCACACCAAUGAUUAAGUCAAAAUCUCCUCCUCACCCCACCAACUGAAAAUUUGAUGAAUCAGAGAACAUAUGACACACCCUCCUGAUGACUGAGUUUGAUAGAGAUUUUUCUGUCUUUUAAAUAUAGUCAUUCAUGUCUCUUUACUUUGUAAUCAAUGUGCCAUUACCUAGUCAUCAAUGUCCUAAGAGACUUUGAUAACUUUCACCUCUAAGGGAGUGAAUUUUUCCCUUUCUUGCACCUACAUUUGUUUUGGACUAUUUGGCAAGCAUGGAUCCAUAAGACCUUUGAGGGGAUGAAGUGAUUAGUUAUAUAUAUAUAUAUUUAGAAGGGGGGUGGUUGGUUUUGUUAUUUGCACUAUUUCAUUGAUUAUAUGGGGUUGCAUUAAUUUUUUUGGUUCUUUAUAGCCUUUUGGCGCCCUUUGUAUACCCUUGGUAUACUAGAGAUGUGCCCCCUUUGUUGUUGCUUGUCAAAAUACUCCCUUUUUGUCUAUUAAAAAAAAAGGAAAAAAGAGAAAGAAAAAAAUUAUUUUUGGUGCUAAUAUAUGAGGUUAUUUUCCAAAAUUGUAUAUUGCAAUUGCAGUUUGCUGUGGUUUCUAUUGGUGAUUCGUUUAGGGUAUAUAGGAUUAUCCAAUAUGUAUUAUCUAAGGUUCUAUUUGACUAUAAAAUGUUGGUGCAAUUUGGAAGGAACAACACAUUUUGUAGGUGACCAGCUGAUUUUUCCUCUUUUAUUCUUAUUGACAGUGUAAUGGUGUCAAGUUCUUUCUAGUUUUUUAUUUUGCACUUUUUUAGGUUUUGUUUCUUGAUGUCUGUGAAGAGAUUUUUUAUUUUUUUAUUAUUAUUUUUAUUUCCAUACUACUUUGCCAUAAUACUUUGGCUUUUUUCCUAGUUCUGACACAAAAAAGGGAUGUGGAAUUGGAGUCUUUCUGGUCUUCUUAAAGAAAGAUUGAAAAGAGAAUUUAUGACAUUCUAACAGAUUUGUCUUUCUUAGUUUUAUAUUUGAGUUUUUCCUUUCUCAUAUUUUUAUUUUUAACUUCAGAAACCUGGUGGCAUCAUUGCUCUUCUGGAUGAGGCAUGGUAUGUUCUAGAAUAUCAUAUACUAAUACAGUUAUUUUAAAAUAAAUUAUUUUUAUUGGUUUAGAUAUCAAAAGAAUAAUCUCUUCUUUCCUUAACUAACAAUUUAUCUUCUUUAUUUUUUGUAGUAUGUUUCCAAGGUCAACGCAUGAGACAUUUUCACAGAAGCUUUACCAAACAUUUAAAAGUCAUAAACGCUUCAGCAAGCCAAAGUUGUCACCUACUGACUUCACCAUUUAUCACUAUGCUGGUGAUGUAAGUAUCAUGGGUUUGUUCCCGUCCACAUAAUUUAUUGUUGAAUCCUUUUUUUUUUUUUCUUUUUUUUUUUUCCAUCUGUCGUUGCUGAAAGUGGGGUUUAAGGAGUAUGGCGGAAUCAUAUGCUGUUGUCUUUUAAAAAAGAAUGGAAAAAACACUUCAAAACAAGUUUCACUGAUAUAUUUCAUGGAGAGAAUUGUGAUUUCAGGUCACAUAUCAAACUGAGCACUUCCUGGAUAAAAACAAAGAUUAUGUUGUUGCUGAGCAUCAAUCACUUCUGAGUGCUUCCAGGUGCUCCUUCGUGGCAGACUUGUUCCCACCUUUACCAGAGGAGUCUUCCAAAACAUCGAAGUUCUCAUCAAUAGGUUCUCGGUUUAAGGUUUGUCUAUGUUCUAAUGCUUAUAUUGAUGCUGUUGUCAGUUUUUUUUGUGCUUUUUGGUUUUGAUUUCUGUUGUAUGCUUAUUUAGCAACAAUUGCAAUCUUUGCUUGAAACACUGAGUGCCACUGAGCCACAUUACGUUCGCUGUGUGAAGCCAAAUAAUCUUCUUAAGCCAUCAAUCUUUGAGAAUAAUAAUGUUCUACAGCAACUACGUUGUGGGGUGAGUUAAAUUUUUUGCUCGCUUCAGUAGUAAUGACUGUUUUCUGUGCAUGCAAGGACUAUGAACUUGGUAUUCAUAUUAUUUCAGGGUGUCUUGGAAGCAAUUAGGAUCAGUUGUGCUGGAUUUCCCACAAGAAGAACAUUUGUUGAGUUCAUUGCUCGUUUUGGCAUCCUUGCACCUGAUGUCUUGAAGGGGAGGUAGCUUUCCUAAUGUCAACACAAGUUCUUCUCCUCCUUCCCUCUUCCCCCUAUUUUUUCUUUUCCCCUCCUUGAACCAUGUGCCAUUAAACUAUUAAAUGCACUGAAUUUCUCUUUUAACUAAUUCUUAUAGCUGUGAUGAGGUUACUACUUCCAAGAGGAUUCUGGAGAAGGUGGACCUUAAAGGGUAUCAGGUACAUUUCAUAGUUUUAGAUUAUGGCUUGUUUUUCAAGAUUCCUUUGACAAUAAUUCUUUCCUUUUUUUCAUCAUUGUUUGAUAAGUAAUAAUUUCCCACUUUUUAUUUUAUUUAUUUAUUUUUAUCUGGUUGUGGAAAUAGAUAAACUUAAAUUCUAUUUUGAAUGGGAUCUUAUUGUUAAGAACAAUAAAAAAUAUCAGUUACCAAUGUCAGAAAUCAUCAAUUGCCAGCCCCUUAUUGCAUAGAUUAGGGGUUCUUGUCACAUCUUCUAUCUUGCUUAAUAUUACAUGAUCUUAGCAUACCUUCUCUGGGUGGGUUUUGGAGAAGAAAUCUAACUGCUCCAUUGCUGUUGCAGAUUGGUAAAACAAAAGUGUUUCUUAGAGCUGGUCAGAUGGCAGAACUAGAUGCUCGUAGGAAUGAGGUUUUAGGAAGAUCUGCUAGCAUUAUCCAGAGAAAAGUUCGUUCAUAUCUAAGUCGUAAAAGCUUUGUCUUGUUGCGGCAAUCUGCCAUACAAAUUCAAGCCUCAUGUCGAGGUAUUAACUAUUAAGUACUAUAUAUAGAAAUUUUACUUAUAAAAAAAAUAAAAAUUAAGUACUAUAUAUGCACAUCAUGGUGAAUUACUUGUUUUUUAUAGUCACUGCAAGAUCUUAGACUCAUUGUCUUUGCCUAAGAGGAAAUGUAACUUGUGUUCAACUCUUUUCUUUUCUCUGAGGCAAUUGCAGUUCAAGUUGCAUGCCAUCGUUAUGAAAAAAUGAGGAAGGAAGCUGCAUGUCGGACGAUCCAAAAAGACUUGCGCAUGUAUCUUGCUAGGAAAGCUUACAACAGGUUUUGCUCUUCAGCUCUUUCUAUUCAAACAGGUAUGCGAGCGAUGGGUGCUUGUAAUGAGCUUCGUUUCAGGAAGCAGACUAAAGCUGCAAUUAUUAUCAAGGUAAAAAUCUGGAAGUACUAUAAAAUUAAGAGCUCAUACUUUGGAGGGUUUUUGAGCUAUAUGUUUCCUAUUUAGAUUUCUUAAAAGCUUAAAUAUUUGGAAACAUGUUACCAAAAAUACAAGCAGUUCUGUUGCUCAAGUGUUUCUGGAACAGUCGAGAAUCAAAACAUUAGGCAGUUGUGGUUGCAAAAGUGGAAUGAACUUACUAAUUGUUAUUUUAUCUCCAAAACUCUUUUGUUAAUUAUAUUAGUUUUGAUUUGGUUUUACUUAUAUUGAAAAAUAAAAUUAAAUACUAAUGGACAAGAGUGAUUUUGUGGAAAACUUAAAUAAUAAGAUGGAUCAAAGCAAUGGAAGAAAGAGAAAAUCAAGCUGAGUUAUAAGUUAAGAUUUGAGUAGGAAAAAAAGAAAGUGCUUCCCAUCCUUUUGGUGUGUAUGACUUUCUGAAUUACAAUGUGUACUAUUGUACCUUAACUCUUCAUUUUGGUUUGUCAUCCAAGUUUCUGUCUACCUUUCUUUUGGUGUAUAAGAGUUUAAGAUGCGUCAAAAAAUCCAGAAUUAAAACUACCUUAGAAAUUUGCUCUUUUUUUUUUGUUUCUUUUACACUGUAAACAAUAAAAUAUACGUGCUAUAAGAAUAGUAGAUUCAUCAUCAAAAGUAUUCUAGUUUUACUGAAAAAUCUCCUAAGUGUCAGCCAUACGUAUGAAGACCUUAUAGCCUUGGCUUUAUCUGGUUCUAUUUACUAUGCUGAGGAGUUUGUUAUGUAGCACAUUCUGUGGAUAGGCUUAUGUUUCUGUCACUUGUUAUGUACUUUGUGCAUUUGGAAUAAAAUCAUGCUUAUUACAGAGUCGAUGCCGAGGAUACUUAGCCCACCUUCAUUAUCUGAGGAUAAAGAAAGCAGCAAUUUCAACACAAUGUGCCUGGAGAGGAAAAGUUGCCCGUAGAGAACUACGGAAGCUUAAAAUAGUAAGAUUGAGUUCCCUGUUUUCUUCAAUUUUGUCUUUUUACUGAUUCCAAUUUAAGCUUAAAAUCUUGUUUGGUGACAGCAGGUUUGUUAAUAUUUGAUAUUUUCCCCUCUUUAAACACCUCCAUAUAUGGCCAUAGUCUUAACAGAUUCAAGUUCUUUUGAUUUUUUUUUCUUGUUGUUUGGUAUACACUUCAAUAAAUUUGAGCCUUACAAUGUCAGGAUUGAUUAUAAGAAGAAAAUUUGAUAAUUUUCAUAAAGAAGUGAGUUGGCAUGUCUUUCUCUUCAUCAUAAUUAUAGAUUCAUGUCUUCAAUUGUUUUUUAUCAAGAAAAAAAAAAGACAAAUAAAAGAACAACAGAACUGGCAUGUGCCAUCUAGCUUGCUUUCUAUAGAAUGAUAGUAAUUUUAAGCUUAGAAGUUAUGGUCUUCUCACUUCCCCUUCAUGCACACACUUCCAAAUGGGAUCAAAUAAUGGCUGAAUAUGUUCUCUCUUUUCAAAUAUGUUGCACUCUUCUCCUGCUAAAUUCUGAUUCUAGACUUUCUAGUAACCUUGCUGGCAUUUAGAAAUUAGCAAGUUCCAUUCCUUCUUCCUAAAUUACUUAAAAUGGUUAUAUAUUUUUAUUUUUGAUAAAAAAUAGAUGUUACAUGAGGAUGGAUAGGCUGCCCCUGUAAACAAGAAAAUAUAUAAAUCAUUAACAAACCCGUAACUUGGCACUCAAUGGGUGCAUUUAGCUGUAUAAAAGUCCUAGUUCCAUCUUAGCCAAAAAAUCUGCCUCCUGGUUGGAUGAUUUGCUGAGCCACCUGUAGGAAACUUCUAAAAGCCUUGAUGAGGUCAAAUUUUCUCCAUGAGGUGAAUGUGACUCCAUGAACCCCUCACUUCCCAAGAAAGAAACACUCUCAAUCAUGAGACUACUUAACACUGGCACUGCAGCUUCUUUCAAUCUUCAAGUAAUGCCUUAAUCUGCAGCUGAAUACAAACCAAACUACAUGGUUCCAAAAUGACUGGCACAACCAUCUUUCUGUGACCCUUAAUAUGUCCUGAUCCCCAAGUGGCCUGAAUUUUCCUAAGUGACCAUUUUCAUUAAGAUGGAAUCUUCCUUUAGGGGAUCAGUCUACACAGAAUUUCCUCCUCCCUGAUGCUAUCCUCACAGAAGGAAGAAAACUACCAUGAUAACACCCAGGGCUCACUUUAAAUUCUUUGGUUUUGGAAGCCCAACGGAGCAUCAAGAAGGUCAAGGUAUUCCACACCUUAUCAGAAACUGUAUUUUCAUUAAAGAUUCUUCUGUUCUUCUCCAUUGAAAUCAGUGAGAGAGUAGCUAAAAGAGCACUACUCCACUACAUGCUACUUCUUCUUCCAAGAACUUCAUAGGCUAUCAUCAGUAUCUCAACAAUAUCAUUUGGCACCCCUCUCUAAAUAAUAAUGGGCUGUGGGCAAAACGAAUCUGUCCAUAAGAAAUAAUCAAUAGAGAGAUGGUGGAUUACUCUGACCUAAAAUGGUUAUUGUGCAAUGAUUUUUUGAUAUUUCUGAUAUCUCUGCAGGCUGCUAAGGAAACUGGUGCUCUCCAAGCUGCUAAAACUAUGCUGGAAAAGCAAGUUGAAGAGCUGACCUGCCAACUCCAGCUGGAGAAACGCAUGAGGGUAAUAACCACUUAUAACAAAUGCAUCAUAUCUUAUUCUUCUUGUCAGUAUUCCUUUGUUAGGUCGACUCUCAUCCAAGCAUAGUUAAGUGAUAUAUCAAGAAUCGUAGUCUUUCGGUUUAUUCCUACAAUGCAAAAUUUUGUAUUUGUAUUAUAUCUUUGUCCCAGAUUUGCAUAUUUUUCUUGUCACUGACUUAAUAGUCCAAAAUGUGAAUGAUAUUGAUUAUUAAAGAAUUCAUUGCUUUGGAAAUUAGAAUAUAUGUUUUUGUUGUUUGAGUUAUUUCUUACCUGACCCUAGUGCUAUACUUGAAGUUGGUUGUGUCAACAGAUUUCUUAUAUAUAGCCUGUGGGUUUUAAUACCUAUGUAGCCAUGCUUGUCUUUUUGAAUCAUCAAGUUACUUUAGUUUUUCCCUGGAGUGUCUUCUGCAUAUCUAAAUAGUUUCAGUGAGGCAAGUUGUCAAAGUUUUGCAUUGAGACUUAUGCCUAUAGGAGUAUAAUUUGCUCGGUUUAGGAAAUCAUUCAGAUUUUGAUGUUGAACCUGAUUUCAGCCAAGAGGAAUGCUAAGUGCCUCUGAGAAUUUUGAAAUUUAAAUUGGUUUCACUUUUAUCAUCUUGAACAGCAAUUAAAUUGUUGAAAUCUUCUAAUCAAGUGGCUGACAGCCUAACUGAGUGCUGGAUACAUGUGAUGGGACUUGGAUACUCUUAAUAAUCCUGCAGGUACUGAAACCAUUACAAGAACACAAUGCACCUUACUGUGUAGAAGUCUUUGAAAUACUAUUUGGGUAAUAUUUCACAAGGAGUUGCCGAUGGAUCUUCUGGUUCACCAAUCAUUGAUGGUUCCUCAGCUCCCUCACCUAGAUAUUUCCUAGGUUCAUCAGGCUAAUGGUUAUCUUGUUGUUUUGAACUGGAUGGUGGUAUCAAUCAACAUAAAAUCUUUGUUGCUUGACUACUAUAAGCGUUGGUUUUACUUUUUCUUUUGAUAAAGAUUAAACCUAUUCAUAUCAGUAGAAAAUGAGUAUAAUUCAAGAACGAUGGAUAAAUAAUUUAGAAAGAAAAGGAACAACAAUUAAACAAGAGAUAAGGAGUGCUAAGCAUGAUGAAAUAAAAGAUACAAACUACAGGUGGCAAAAAAAUCCACUGAUAAGGCUUUAGAUGAGAAGCUCCAUGGUUAGCCAAAAAGUCUACAAAGUGAUCAUCUGACCUAUGGAUCUAAAGGAAAGAACAACUCAAAGCUCUGGCAAAGUGAAUAUAUUAGUGCUUUCAUGAACCUGAUCUCCAUGGUUCAUGUUUCCUUGAGAUACCCAAGCUAUCAUUAAUAUCGAGUGUCCUUGGCUCCCUCUACCAUAAAGUUGUUUUGAAGUCUAGUGAGCUAUACUUGAGCCUUCCAACGAAGUGAGGAUCUUAGCCUCAAUGGUCAACCCCCUUCCAUAGUCUUGGAUAAGAUUCUAACUACAUAUCCUGUGUGAUCUUUGAGGACACUGUGAACCCUUCAUGGGAUUGGCUAGUAACCUGUCUAAGUUGAACUUGAGCUAUCCCUCUGGAGUAGGUUUCCACUCUGGGAGAACCUCCACUAUUCUCUUGCUACACAAACAGGCUGAUUUCCAAUCCUACAUGAUGAUGCUUGACGAUCCUUUCACAAAACGAAGUAGUUAAGGCCAAAAGGUGAAAAGAGAGAAUUUCAAAUCUAAUGAUUCCAUAGCCACUCACAAAAGAAUCUUGCACUCAAAGUAGGGAAGGCCACAAGCGUCAUAUAUUCAACCCAGCCAUUCAAAAUAAUUUGUGUUAAAAAAUCCUAACCACUGGGCUAUGGAGAAAUAAAUAUCCACCAUCAUUUCUACACAUGAUACAACAAUUUAGGCAUAAGGCUUUAGAAGACAUUAUGAAUUAUAAACAUUGUUAAAUUGACCUUUCUUUUGCCACCAGCCAUGCAAAAGCCUUGAUAUUAGAAGGGGCUUAGGACUUUCAAAUAAAAUUUUUGGGAAAAGAAUGGGACCAUCUGGAGGGAGAGCAAAAUUGAAUGAUCUUCAGGAGAAAAGCCCUGAAGAAGUGAGGCCAGACUAUCUCAUGGGAAAUGGAGCAUAGAAAAUUGACAUGGAUAAACAUAGAAUUGCAACUGGUAAGGUUCUUUGAUUUCCUGGUCAUCCAAGUACAAUAAAAAUUAAAAUCGUUUGGAGAGAAGAAGAGGAAAGAUCUAGAAAGAUAGAAUAGAAAGAAUGAUUACCCCACAGAAGUUUUUCCCUAAAACAAAUCCUGUUACCAUUACCAUUGAGAACCUGAAAAAGUAGAGAAAUCAAGGAAGACUUUAGAUAUUUUUUAUUCAUCAGCAUAAGUGUGAAAAUUGUGAAAGUGUGAAGUAAUGUCAGCAUCCCAUCUAUUGGAGUCUAAAAAAAUAAAGACUUCUAAUUACCUGUUGCUCUCCCUUGGAAAUCUCAACGGCCACUUACCUAGAAUGGUUAUUUUUCUUGGGGGAAAUCUUUCCAUAACCCAAACCCCCUGCUAUGUUAGGUCUUAUCGCCUGAUUCCACCUAAUUAGAUUGUUAUUUUUCCCUUAAUGAAAAUCUGAAAUAAAGAAAUCCCUUUAUGAUCUUCCUAAUUUGCACUUUGAAAACUGAGAGGGAAUAAGUGGGAAUGUGAGAGAAACAAGCUAGGAUAAGUGAUUCUUUCUCUUUGGACAAAUAGGCUUUCUUCCAACCAUUAUGAGAUAUCCUUUCUAAGAUUGGGUCUCUCUAGAGCUACACCUGCAGAGCUGGAGAUUGUCAAGUAUUACUUGAACUUGGUUAAGAUAUAAAUGACAAGAAGAUAUCUUUUAUUAUUUUUAUUUACUUGCUCUUGUGCCCAAAUCCUUUGGAAAUGGCAAUAUAUGUUGACAUCGCUUGAGAAAUAUACAUAGAAAUAACCUUUUGAUGACAGAAAGAACCUUGGAAUCUCUAUCUUUAGAUUUCUCUUGUUUAUCUGCUUUGCUAUUAUCAGUUAGGGUUUGUCAGGCUUUUGGUCAUAUGCUUCCAGAACAAUGCAGAAAGAGCAGUAGCCUUUUUUCAAGACGGGAUGUUGAUUUUUGCCUUGUCUACCAUAAGCAUUAUUAUGUGAUAUAUGCAGAAAAAUUGGUUAAAGCAUCACUAAUGUUCUGGGAGUAGGGCCAUGCCAUUUCUGCUGAAUCUUCCCCCUUUUUUGUUUCCUGUCCAAAAAACUAUCUGCUCAGGAUGGAGCUGUUAAUGUAUUUGGAUUUUGGGUUUAUGGGGUUUUGUACUUAUUAAUGUGUAGUCUCCAUAGAUGUGUGUUGUGUUAAAGUAAAUAGUCACUGCAGUUAGGGCAUCUGAUGACAUUGGACGGGUCCUUUUUGGCAAGGUGCUUUGUGUAAAUGAAAUAUUGGUUCAACAUCAGCUCAAAAGUAAAAUGAAUGAAAUAUUUGUUCAACAACAAAAGGUGAUGUAGAGAAUAUAGGUUGGUCAAAUUUAUUUUAGUGUAUAACAUUAUUGGAAACUAAUAAUAAAAAUAAUCUUAGAAGAAAUUACUAAAAAUAAAUGUCUAAUAAUAAAUUGGUAUUCUUCCCCCCUGAGCUGGAGUCUUAGUACAACUGUAUUUGCUAGCUAUAACGCAUCCUUCCUGGCAAGAUAAGAGACUCUUCCUUGACUCCUGAAUGCUGUUGUUAUUUUUUUUUUUGGUUUUUCCUUUUUUGUUUUUUUUUUCUUUCUUUUUUUGACUUCUGAACGGUAAUACAACUUUAUGGAAAGGGUGAACUGGUAGGAAUUUGUUAUAGCCAUGAUUUUUGUUGGUGAUGUUUUAGGCUUUGUAUUUGAAUGACGUAAUCCCUUUUAAAAUGAAAUUUAUGAUCAAUCAUAUCAUUAUAAUUUUUAUGUAGAGAAUUGUAAUUCAAUGUUGUUUUUAUCUUUGUAGUGUGAGGUCUGUAUUCAAAAUAAUGCACAAAUAAUUUAUGCUGCGUCAAGGUUCUCUUUUUCAUCUGUUUUGAAAUCUAAAUGGGAAAAAGAUUAGAUAAAGAAGUAGAAUAAGAAAUAUAUAUGGUGAACCUCUCCUUUACUUGAUAUUCUGGGCUAUUAGUGUUGUGGUAUUGAUAGUCUUUCUCUCUGUUUCUCUUUCUUUUUCCCCCCAUUCACAAUCCCCCUCCCUCUCUGCCCCUGUUUUCCAUAUAUUAGCAUCACUGCACUGCUGCAUCAAACCUGUUUCUACAUUUUUACCUUAAUAGUUUAUGGGGUUUGAAUUCCCAACCUCUUGCUCUGAGGUCAUUUUGAGGAUCUCCUUGAUACUAUUAGCUUAAUUUGUCUAAUAGUAUUGUAUGUUUCUUAUUAGUGUAUCCACUUUAUUCCAGGCUGACAUUGAGGAAGCCAAAACACAGGAAAAUGCAAAACUGCAGAAUGCUUUGCAAGAGAUGCAAGUUCAAUUUCAAGAAACUAAAGAAAUGCUUAUCAAAGAACGUGAGAAUGCAAAAAAAGCAGAUGAGAAAGUACCUAUCAUACAAGAGGUUCCAGCUAUUGAUCAUGAAAUGAUGAAUAAGUUGACUGCUGAAAAUGAAAAGCUCAAGGUGAAGUUCCUGAAAGCCUAGUAUGUAUAUGUAGCUUUUGGAUAAAAUCUCAUGUUUUGAUUUAAGUCAAAUCAAAAGUUCUGUUGCUGAGAUUCUAGCUUUUACGUUUAUAUUUAAUGAUAUCAUCCUGACAAAUGACACUUAGCAGGAUUUGGUAAGUUCACUGGAGAAGAAGAUUGAUGAGACACAGAGAAAAUAUGAAGAAACAAACAAGAUCAGUGAAGAGCGCUUGAAACAGGCUUUGGAUGCAGAGUCAAAAAUAAUUCAGUUGAAAACUGAUAUGCAAAGGUUCUUACAGUCAUUGAUCUACAUCUGUUAACAUAUGUACUAUGCAACGUUGGUCUUGCUACCUUUGUGAAGUUAAUAUAGAAACUGGAUCAAGUGAUUUCUUCUCAUUCUCCUUUGUGUUUAAUUGUUAGCUAUUUCUUUUCUCAGACUUGAAGAAAAACUUUCUGACAUGGAAACUGAGGACCAAAUUCUGCGUCAGCAAGUAUCGUUGCAUUCUCCUGUUGGAAAAAUGUCGGAACAUUUAGCAAUAGCAUCUGAGGUAAACAUGCCUUAGAAAACAAAUGUUUCUUAUUUUUGGGUUCUUUUAGGGCAUCUAACAUUCUUCUAUUUGUUAUCAGCCGCACUUGGAAAAUGGUCAUCAUGGGACUGAAGAAAAAAAGACCAGUGUAAUUUACUUAAGACAAAUCUCUUUGUUGUUGUCUAUACUUUUGGUGCAUUUUUGUUGUGUGGUAAUGAGGAAGAUCAAUUUUCUACAGGAGCCUGAGAGUGCAACACCUGUGAAAAAGUUUGGUACAGAGUCUGAUAACAAGUUGAGGAAAUCCCAGAUUGAAAGGCAGCAUGUGCGUGCUUGAAGGAGAUAAAAAAAGGAACAUUUUUCUGCAUUGUUUUCUAAAGGUGAAACUUAAUGGAUUUAUAACAUUGGUGUGUUGUUUGUUGUGCAGGAGAGUGUUGAUUCUCUUAUCAAAUGCGUGUCACAAGAUCUUGGGUUUAGUAAUGGAAAACCAGUUGCAGCAGUUACUAUAUACAAAUGUCUUCUGCACUGGAAAUCAUUUGAAGCUGAAAAAACAAGCGUAUUUGACCGUCUUAUUCAGAUGAUUGGUUCUGCAUUUGAGGUACAUAUUUAUAUUGCAUAAAAUUAGUAUUUCAUUUAUCCCAAGGUGAGAUUCAAAGGAUUGUUGACAAAAAUUUGUAUAAUUUUUUCCGGACUACCCAAUUUCGAUCACAGAAUACCAGUUGUUGAAAUUUCCACUUGAGUACAUUAAAUCCUACUAUAUUUCUUUUUUGAAAAUAAAGCAUGGGGAAUGUUGAGGUGACACACAAAAGAGAACAGAGUGUUCUGAAAGAAAAUGUCCAGAAGAAAUUGGGACAUCUUUCUUUUUCUUCUCCUUUUUAUUAGCUAAAAUUUGAUGUUUUUAGGAUUCUUUUCAAAUGUAGUUAUUUAAAAUUUGAGCGUUGGAGUAGUUUAAUUCUUUUUUUGGGUUUUGCUCCUGUUGGAACCAACAAGCACUAGAUAAGCACAAACAAGGAACUAGUUCUUACUAAUGUGUUCAUCGAUUGAUAAGUUUAGACUGUCUUGCCAUUCAAAUUCUUCCCAAAAUAAAUUGUCUUUGUAUAUGUUGGUUGAAGUUCACAUUUUCUGUUCAGUAACAUGCUUUAUCUUAUAUAUAUAUAUAUAACUUUUCCUAGCAGAACCAGGAUAACAAUGAACAUAUGGCUUAUUGGCUAUCCAAUACAUCUACACUACUAUUAUUGCUUCAACGGAGUCUCAGAACUACUGGUGCAGCAAGUCUACAACAGAAACCUCCCCCUGCACCAUCAUUAUUUGGGAGGAUGGCUCAAGUAAUGAUAUGUUCAUACAAUUAUUUUUAAUUCACAAUUUUUUGUUAUCAAUUGAUUGCUGGAAGAUGAUUGUGACUUAAACUUAGGGUUGGAUACAAACAAUCUUUGGUGUCAAGUAAUGCGAUUCAUUAUUUAGCAAUUCUUAUGUGCAGUUUUCCUACAAACUAAAAACAUAUAAUUUCAUUUUUAUGUUUUCUCAGGGGUUCCGCUCAUCCUUUUCUUCUGCAAAUGUUUCGGUAGAUGUAGUGCGUCAGGUUGAGGCUAAGUAUCCAGCUUUGCUUUUCAAGCAGCAACUCACAGCAUAUGUGGAGACGAUAUAUGGAAUUAUUCGAGACAAUUUGAAGAAGGAUUUGUCAUCUGUCCUUUCUUCUUGUAUCCAGGUAUAUUUGACUCUUAGGUUUCUGUUUUAGGAUCUUUCAGUUACUUCUUUCUUAAUACAAUUUAUGAACAUUGGUUCUUACAGGAUUAGGGGAUGUGCAAUAAAAGUGAAAAUUAUGCACUAAAAGCUUUAGUUUUGAAUUAUGUGUUGAAAGAUUGAGUACAAAAUUUACUGUUGGAGAAUUGGUGUUGUUAUUGCCAGAUUAUAUAGUCUGUAUGGACUGGGAUUUAAUUUGAAUUUGUUUCUAUUUUUAUACAAUUAAUUUAUUUCUUGUAAUCAGGGACUGAUUUAGUAGUUGAUUUAUUUUUUUAUAAUUAGUGGCUUAUUUAGUAGAGUAAUUCUAGGCCUAUAAUAGAGUAAUUUUCUUUCCUUUUUCUUGUUAUAUACAUUAUAAAGAAACUAUAAAUAUAUCCCUGGGAAUAUACAAAUAUUAUUCAACAUCAUUCUUUGUUUUUGUGAUAUCAGGGCCUUGUGCUCAAUAGUUUUCUUUCUCUUUUGUCUACCUACUUCAAUUGUUGAUGCUAGUCCUAAUUUUUCCAGCCUUAAUUGAUAGUACUGUUCACAUAUUCUUUCUAUCUUUAUUGCCAGCAUACUUCUUUCUCAAGUGCAAUCUUCUAGUUUAUCCUUGGUAGAUCCUCUUUGUUCUGUUGUUCCAUGCAGUAUUUCUUUAGAAAAUGAUGGUUCGGCUAUAGAUCAGAAUCAGAAUGAUAAAGAAGUUGUUGUGUUCCUAGACACAUAAAGUAGGAGGAGGAUGAUAUCACUAUCUGAGGCAUGAUGAAGUGCAAAGUUGAAAAGUUUGAAGUGGAAAAAAAGUCUUUUCAGGUAAAGUUUGAAGGAUCGAAUGGUGGAACUUGGGUAUCAGUAACAGAAAGGAGCCAUGGUUUUGUUGUAUCAGUAGGAUUUGGAAAGGAGGAGUUGGAUUGGUUGACGGAGCAUUUGAAGAAAGCUGUGGAGUUGGAGGAUACCAGGGGAUUUACACGAAAGUUCAGGGGCGAGAAUAAGAUUCACUUGAUGGAGAUUUGCUUCAACAAUAGAGGGCGAUUCAUGAAAAUCACUGAGAUAGCUACAAGAAGGAAAACUUUACUUCUUGUCAUUCCCGAGGGUGUUAAAGGUAAUGGAUGGGAAGUCCUUAGGAGGGCGAUUCUUUCAGUGCAAGAUUAUUCUGAUCAAGUCGGAGAAGAGUUGAAGAAGACGUUUGGCAAUACUCAGAUGAGUAAAAGCAUAUAUAGAGGUGGUUGGUCAUACGCAGAGGUGGUUGCAGAGGAUGGACUUAGGAGUGGAGUUCCAUUAUCAGCUGGAAAAUGGGCCAGAGCCGUAAUAUGUGAAUGCAAAGAAAAAGUCCAAGACUGGACUCAUGAAGGCAAGGCCAUUGCGAGGAUGAUGGGUGUGAAAGGUAUAGUGUCUAUAAAUCCCAUUUCCGCUUUCAAGGGGUGUUUGUUUGUGAGUUCAGCAGGAAGAGCAAAAUGGUUCCAAGGGCAGGAAAGACUUUUAGUGAAAGGAAGGCCUGUUCUCCUAAGAAGAUGGUCGCCAAGAGAAAAUAUGAUUAUUCCCGGAAAAUUCAGAAGGGGUUGGUUAGAGUUGAAAGGCCUUCCUUUUCACUUGUGGGAGGAAGACCAGCUGAAAUUCAUCUUGAAGAAGUGGGGGAGGGUGAUGGAGGUAGCAAGGGAAGCCGUGAAGCUGUUGGACUUGACGAAGGUGAAGCUGUGGGUGGAGAUGCAUCCUAAUGUCGUGCUUCCAGCAUUGCUUGAGGUGGAAGAUGGGGCCUAGGAAUAUAUAGUAGCAGUUUCAGUCAUCGGAGAAGAGGGUGAAGACGACACUGUCACGUCCGAGACAACCCACUGCAGGUACGAGUGGUUGAAAGAGGAGGGUUGCGUCUCUCAGACGACAAAAUUUGCAGAGGGGCUAUGAGGUAGUAUCAGGGGCAAUGAGUGCUACAGUAGGGAGCUUCUUCCUCGGGCACGUUAUCGGUGCUCAAGUACAAGUAUGGCGGCCAAAAGGGAGAAAGGAUGGGAAGAGAGCAGAUUGGGCCUAGUAGAAGAAAACAUUCUUAGGCCCAUAGAGCCUGAGACUUCUACUAAAGCCCAUCCAGUAAGGGCCCAAAGAGGGAGAAGGAGUCGUGGGCUUCACGUUGGCCCAGACGCCCCUCAAGCCCAUGGCGUAGCGGCAUCCCCUUCAUCUCUCUAGCGAGUGGGUUCCUCUGCAAAAGCGACCACGCAGCCUUGUUCAGGAGAUGAGAGGGCCGGCGUUGAGGUUAUACAUGGAGAGGAUGGUCGGGCCGAUGAGUUACAAGCCCAGACUUUAUCCAACCCUAGCCCACCUUCAAAGAUAGAAGAUGUUAGUUACGGGCGUCGGACUGUGGGCUGUAAGUCAAAAGGCCCGUCGGGGUUGGGCCAAUUUCUAGGAGGAUCGAAGUCCUCUGGCAUGAAAGGUAGGUCUCGAGAGGAAGAAAGCGCAGCGAGAAAGGGGAAAGCUCCAAUGGUUCAGAUGGGAGACUUCACGCAAGGGGAAAAGACGAUGGAUUCAAGGAAGAUGUGGUCCAACCUCUUCCUUCCAAGCGCGGCUCGCUGUCAUGGACAACGGAGUAGCAACGAGCCUCUUCCCCUACGGAGCGCAUCGCCAUUUAGCGAAGUCCGCAAUCUGGAAGUGGAUGGCGGGAUGGGAUCUCAACAGAUACGAGGUAUCAGAGCGAGUCCCAUCUUUCGUUGUCUUCUGUCAAGGAAAUGCAAGAGCUGGUCGAAGGAAGAGACCUCGACGUCAAGACGAGAGAUGGACUCGCGAAAAUCCCAACUCGAAGAUGACAAAGGAGGAUUUAUGGGCCGAGCGGGGUACGAUCCUUGUGGUUCUUCAGUCACGGAGUCACCUUCUAUUCCAAGAACCAAAGGUAAAGAAAUCAUUUUGGAAGGAAAUUGUGAAAUUCCGGGAGUGGAAAACAUGGAGGAAAGUCAGCCUUUUUCUUCUCAGCCACCCGAGCCUUAUUCCUCUUCUUUCUGUAAUCUGGAAAAGCAUCUGCCGAGUCCCUCUGGUCCUCAUCUCCCAAAUUCAGAUUUUCUUUCCCAGUCUCCUUCGGUAAAUCAAGGUAAAUUUAAAAUUUUUCCUGAAAUAGGCGAUGUUGGUCCCUUAAAUUUUGUUGGCAUCCCUGUCCGUGUUGAGGAGGAGAAUCAGAGAGCUGUUUCUAACCAGGUGUCCGAGAGAUCUAUCCCUAGGAAGUCUUCUAACCUAAUGUUAGGUAGUCCGGGGGUUAAUGCGGCAUCCCCACCGGAAGACUUUCUUAUCGAUGGCCUGUUCCCUAGGAAAAUGGCUAAAGUGCGAGAGGUUCUAUGCUCUCUGGACAUUAAGGUGUACUCUAGGAGGAAGAAUAGAGGCCCAUAGGCGAUUGAAUCCAGGUGGAUUUGGUUUGGAGGGUUAGGGCCUGAGUGUUUUUCCAUGAAAAUUAUCAGUUGGAAUGUCAGGGGUUUGGGUUCAAGUAAUAAGCGAAGGGUGAUUAAAGAUUUCCUUAGGUUAGAGAAUCCGGAUGUUGUGAUGAUUCAGGAAACAAAAAAGGAGAAGUGUGACAGAAGAUUAAUGGGCAGUGUCUGGACGGUCAGAAAUAAGGAUUGGGUUAUUCUCUUGGCGUGUGGGGCUUCAGGAGGGAUUUUGUUCAUUUGGGACUCAAAAAAGUUGUGCAAGGAGGAGGUGGUAUUAGGCUCUUUCUCGAUAUCAGUCAAGUUCGCUUGGAGGGCUGUGGACCUCUUUGGAUUUCUGUAGUUUAUGGUCUAAAUAGUCCCUCACUUAUGAAGGAUUUUUGGGUGGAACUUUAUGACAUUUAUGGUCUAACUUUUCCGUUAUGGUGUGUGGGCGGUCAUUUUAAUGUCAUAAGGAGAAGUUCAGAAAAAUUAGGGGGCUCUAGGCUAACUUCAAGCAUGAGGGACUUUGAUAGUUUUAUUAGAGAAUGUGAAUUGCUUGAUCCACCUCUUUGGAACGCAUCAUUCACUUGGUCAAAUAUGCAAGAGUCUCCCGUGUGUAAGAGAUUAUACCGUUUUCUUUACUUAAAUGAGUGGGGGCAGCUCUUUCCCCAAGGCCUUCAAGAAACCCUUAUCAGAAGGACCUCAGAUCAUUGGCCAAUUGCUUUGGAUACCAACCAGUCAUGUGGGGCCCAACACCUUUUAGAUUUGAGAACAUGUGGCUGCAACAUCCUAGUUUCAAGGAGAACUUUAGAAAUUGGUGGAGGGGUUUUCAAGGAAACGGAUGGGAAGGCCACAAGUUCAUGAGGAGAUUACAAUUUGUUAAAGCCAAAUUGAAGGAAUGGAAUGAGCUUUCUUUUGGAGAGCUUAAUGAAAAGAAAAAAAGUAUCCUCAAUGAUUUAGCUAACUUUGACACCAUUGAGCAGGAUGGGGGUCUCACCUCUGAAUUGUUAGAUCAAAGAGCCUUAAGAAAAGGGGAGCUAGAGGAAUUAAUUUUGAGGGAGGAAAUCCAUUGGAGACAAAAAGCUAGGGUGAAAUGGGUUAAGGAAGGGGAUUGCAACUCUAAGUUUGUUCAUAAAGUGGCUAAUGGCAGGCGAAAUAGGAAAUAUAUCAAGGCGUUGGAAAAUGAAAGGGGCUUAGUGUUGAAUAAUGCCGAGAGAAUCAUAGAGGAGAUCUUACUUUACUUUGAAAAACUCUACGCGAGUCCUAUAGGAGAGUCUUGGAGUAUUGAAGGAUUAGAUUGGUCCCCUAUUUCGGAAGAGAGUGCGAUAAGUUUGGAUGCCCCUUUCACUGAAGAAGAGAUUUCUAAGGCCAUUUUUCAAAUGGAUAGGGACAAGGCUCUGGGGCCUGAUGGCUUUACUAUUGCAGUAUUCCAAGACUGUUGGGAUGUGAUUAAGGAGGAUCUAGUGAGAGUGUUCGCAGAAUUUCAUAGGAGCGGAGUUAUCAAUCAAAGCACUAAUGCCUCUUUCAUUGUUCUUCUGCCCAAAAAGAGUACGACAAAGAAAAUCUCAGAUUUUAGACCCAUUAGUUUGAUCACUAGUCUCUAUAAGAUAAUAGCCAAAGUGCUCUCAGGGCAUCUAAGAGGGGUUUUACAUGAAACCAUCCACUCUACUCACGACGCUUUUGUUCAAGGGAGACAAAUAAUGGAUGCGGUUCUCAUAGCAAAUGAGAUAGUGGAUGAGAGAAGACGAUUAGGGGAGGAAGGUGUCGUCUUCAAAAUUGACUUUGAAAAGGCUUACGAUCACGUAAGGUGGGAUUUUUUAGAUCAAGUGUUGGAGAAGAAGGGGUUCAGUCCUAAAUGGAGGAAAUGGAUGAGUGGAUGUUUGUCCUCGGUAUCUUAUGCAGUAUUGGUGAAUGGUAGUGCUAAAGGUUGGGUUAAGGCAUUGAGAGGAUUAAGACAAGGUGACCCUUUAUCCCCCUUUUUGUUUACUUUAGUAGCAGAUGUAUUGAGUAGGAUGCUUUUGAGAGCAGAGGAGAGAAAUAUGUUGGAGGGUUUCAGGGUGGGUAGAAACAGAACUAGGGUAUCUCAUUUGCAAUUUGCCGAUGACACCAUCUUCUUUUCUAACACUAGGGAGGAAGACUUGCAGACUCUCAAGAGUCUUUUGUUAGCAUUUGGGCAUAUUUCUGGGCUUAAGGUCAAUCUUGACAAGAGUAAUAUUUAUGGUAUCAAUUUGGAUCAAGCUCAUAUUUCAAGAUUGGCUGAGAUGCUUGAAUGCAAGGCUUCUGGCUGGCCUAUACUCUAUCUGAGUCUUCCUUUGGGUGGGAACCCCAGGGCAGGUGGAUUUUGGGAUCCAGUGAUUGAGAGAAUUUCAAGAAGAUUAGAUGGAUGACAAAAGGCAUACCUAUCCUUCGGAGGGAGGAUAACUCUCAUCCAAUCUUGCCUUACCCAUAUGCCCUGUUACUUUCUUUCUUUAUUUAAGUUACCCGCUUCAGUCGCUGCAAAAAUCGAGAGGUUGCAAAGGGAUUUUUUAUGGUCAAGGAUUGGGGAAAGCAAAAGAGAUCAUUUAGUCAGGUGGGAUGUCGUGUGUAAACUGAAGGAAAUAGGGGGUUUGGGUUUUGGGAAUAUUUCUCUGAGGAAUCUCGCUCUUUUAGGGAAAUGGCUGUGGAGGUACCCUAGAGAGGGUUCAGCUCUAUGACAUCAGGUCAUACUAAGCAUUUAUGGUUCACACUCCAAUGGUUGGGAUGCUAACACAUUAGUCAGAUGGUCACAUCGCUGUCCUUGGAAGGCUAUUACUCAAGUCUUUCAGGAGUUUUCCUCGUUUACUCGGUUUGUGGUAGGAAAUGGGGAAAGAAUUCGGUUCUGGGAAGAUUUGUGGUGGGGGGACCAACCUUUGGGAACCUAAUAUCCAAGACUAUUUAGAGUAGUCUUAGGUAAAAACAUACCUAUUUCUUCAGUUCUCGGUCCUACUCGUCCUUUCUCUUGGAAUUUAAAUUUCCGUCGUAACCUGUCAGAUUCUGAGAUAGAGGACUUAGAAGGCCUCAUACGAUCUCUCGAUGGAUUGCAUUUAUCUCAUUCGAUUCCAGAUGCCAGAUUUUCGCUCUUAUCUUCUUCAAGACUUUUUUCAGUUAAAUCCUUCUUUCUAGCUUUAUCCCAAUUUUCUGGAUCUCCUCAAGUUUUUCCUUCUAAGUUCGUUUGGAAUUCUCAAGUUCCUUUCAAAGUGAAGUCAUUCAUCUGGUUAGUGACACACAAGAAGGUGAAUACUAAUGACAUGCUACAAGUGAGAAGACCCUACAAAGCCCUUAGUCCUGAUAUUUGUAUUUUGUGCAUGAAGCAUGGGGAAUCAGCUGAUCAUAUUUUUCUUCAUUGCUCCUUGACGAUUGGGUUGUGGCAUAGGUUAUUUCAGUUAGCUAAGAUGGAUUGGGUCCCCCCGAGGAGCAUCCUUGACAUGAUGUCCAUCAAAUUUAAUGGAUUUGGUUCGUCUAAGAGGGGGAUAGCCUUGUGGCAAGUUGCAAGCAUCGCUCUUAUUCGGAUUGUGUGGUGGGAAAGAAAUGCGAGGAUUUUUGAGGAUAAAGUAAGGAAUUCAGAGUAUCUUUGGGACUCUAUUGUUUUCCUUGCUUCUCUUUGGGCUUAUUGUUCCAAGGUUUUUAAGGGGACUCCCCUUAAUGUAAUACAACUUGAUUGGAUAGCAGUGUGUACUCCAUAAGGAGUGGUUUUUUUAGAGUGUUCGCUUGUUUUUCAGUGUAUUUUUCUAUAGUUUAGCUUUCUUUGGCGAGAGGAUUCCCCAUCCUUCUUUUGUACUUAUUUUUAUCUAUCAAUAAAUCUAUGUGUCGUUUCCAAUCAAAAAAUCUUUAUUGCCAGCAUUGGUUCAGAACCCAUUUUUCAGUGUCUGCAUUUUUUUUUUUUUUUUUUCUGGUGUGUUCCUCCCCAUUUUAGCAAUCUUGUCAUAUCUCCAAUCAACCUUAGAUGACAGAAAAUUCCAAUACCUCUUCCACUACUACCCAAACGACAAAAAAAUACUCAAACCUUAGUUCCCAUCCCAAGAGAAUUCCAUCCACUUUUAAAUUGAAUGGAGGCAAUUACCUAGAGUAGUCUUAGUUGGUAAAAACACAUCUGGAAGGAAAAGGGAAAUUAUGGGUUUUUGAUGCUUCAGGAAACAAAGAGGAAGUUAUGUGAUAAGAGGUUUGUGGGUUGUGUGUGGAAAGUUAGAAAUAAGGAGUGGGUUGUUCUUCCUGUUUGUGGGGCAUCAAGAAGGGUGAGAAUUAUUUGGGACUCAAACAAGUUCAGUUAUUUAGAGGUGGUACUUGAAUCUUUUUUAGUAAUAAUGAAGCUAUGUUUAGAUGAAGAGGGGCAUUUUGGCUUACCUUGGUUUAUGGUCCCAAUAAGUUUGGUAUGAGGAAGGACUUUUGGAUAGAGCUACAAGGCCUCUUUGGCCAACAUUUUCCAAAAUAGUGUGUUUUGGGGGAGGAGAUAGGGGUUUUAACUUCAUAAGAAGAAUCUGUGUAAAAUUAAGCAUCUCCAAACUAACCCUUGACAUGAGGGAUUUUGAUGCAUCUUUCAUUUGGUCGAAUACAUAAGAAAUCCCUUUUUACAAGAGGUUGUGUAGGAGAGAGAUGGAAGAAUAAAGGGUGAAAAAUUCUCUUUCUUAAAAAUUAAAAUUUUCUAUAAAGGCUCACAUAUAUAUAUAGAAAAAAAUCCUAACACCUAAAUUAGAAACUUUCCUAACUUAACAAAUCCCUUUGAUCAUGGGAUUACCUAAUUCUCUUUUACAAAAUCACAACUUCCUUAAUUCCAUUCUUCCAUAUUCCUCCUCAAGUUGGUGAAUUGAUGUUUUCCAUUCCUAGCUUGGAUACAUCUGCUUGAAACUUUGUACUGCUUAAACCUUUUGUGAGUAUAUUUGCCAGUUGACGGUCAGUAGAUACAUAAGGAGUACAGAUCAAUCCACUAUUUAGUUUCUCCUUGAUAAAAUGUUUGUCAUUUUUUAUGUGUUUCAUUCAAUCAUGUUGCACUGAAUUAUGUGCAAUACUGAUUAUAGAUUUAUUGUCGUAGUAAAGUCUCAUUGGACCAUCCCAUUUAAUCUUCAAAUCGUCCAACAUAAUCUUCAACCAUAGUAGUUCAGAAACUCCUUGAGCCAUUGCUCAAAAUACUUUUUUUGAACUGGAUCUUGCCACCAAACUCUAUUUCUUACUUUUCCAUGUCACCAGAUUUCCACCAAGAAAGGUGCAAUACCCAAUAGUUGAUCUUUUAUCAACCAUAGAUCCAACAUAAUCUUGAUUCAUGUAUGCUUCAAGUACUAAUCAUGAGCUUCGUUUAAAUAAGAUGUCCUUUCCAAGAGACCCCUUAAGGUACUGUAGUACUCGAUUAGCAACUUGCGGGUGAACCGCUUUUGAACUGUGCAUGAAUUGACUAAUCACAUUUACAAUAUAUGCUAUAUCCAGUCUUGUGUGAGAGAGAUAAAUGAGUCUUCUUACCAGAAGUUGAUACAUCUCUCUAUCUACUGGAGUAUCUUCCUCAACUUCCCCAAGCUUAUGAUUAGGAUCAAUAGGUGUGCUUAGUGAUUUACACACCAACUUCCUUGUUUCCUUGAGAAGGUCCAUUACAUAUUUCCAUCGAAAAAUACAAAUUCCCUACUUAGAAUGUGCAACCUCAAUUCUUAGGAAGUACUUUAACAUUCCUAACUCUUUAAUCUCAAAUUCCUUAGUCAAGUAUUAUCUCAAAGUCUACCUCUCUAGUUCAUCAUUUCUCGUCAUGAUGAUAUCGUCUACAUAUAUCAAAAGAGCUAUAACUCCCCUUGAAUCUGAAUGCUUGAUGAAUAGCGUAUGAUUUCCUUGACUUUGUUUGUAUCCUAUGUUUUUCAUCACUUUUGCAAACCUUCCAAACCAUGCCCUUGGAGUCUAUUUCAACCUGUAUAAAGCUUUCUUCAGUUUACACAUCUUUUUUGUGGCUGGGUUACUACUAAAUCCAAGAGGGACUUCCAUAUAAAUCUCUUCUUCCAAAUCUCUGUUUAGAAAUGCAUUUUUGACAUUGAACUGUUGUAGAUCCCAGUUAUAAUUUACUACUGAGGAUAACAAAAUUCUAAUUGUGUUCAUUUUGGCAACCAGAGCAAAUGUCUCUAGAUAGUCCAUACCAUAUGUCUAAGUGUAUCCUUUAGCAUGUAUGCUGCUUGAAUAUUCUACAAUUCUCGUGUUAUGACUGGUAAUCACUCUUUUAGAUUGAGCAGUGAAAGGGGUAGUUUAUGAUAUCUUAGACAUUUUUUUUUCCUUUCUUUUCUUUCUUUUGGAAUUUAAAUUCUUAGAGGAGGGUAACUUAAAAAAAUACUUGUUAUUGGAAAUAUGAAAGGCUAGAUGUGGGGUAACCUACAAAAACAUCCCACACAACUUAUGGACGUGAGAUGGAGAUAGCCAUAGCGUGCACGCUGGAGGUCAACUCUGUCGACAACCAUGGAAGCAAUGUCGGACCACGAUUUUCGAUGAUAUCGACGGACAAGAACGAUUAAAGUCCUUACAAGGCCUCUUUUGCGCUUGCGACAUGUUCAUGAUCUUUGUUUGCAGCAAGGACGAAGGUUUGUCUCGCGAUUGGUGACGAUGACAAUGGUUUUUCGCUGGUGCAAGGAGAUCGAUGUUUUCUAGAUGAUGCAAAGAUGAAGGCACUAUGAGAGGCUAAGGUUGAGGCUGUGGCUGUUCAACCUGUGCUUGCUAUGGUGGUGUGAAGGCAACGGUGCAACCUUAGUGGCGCGACAACAGGGCAAGGCAAAGACGAGGGUAGCGACAUUGAAACCUGUGUUCACUUCAAUCCACUUACUGUUGCAGAAGGGGCUGCAAUUUAGGUAAAAUAAACCUUCGAAAUUCAAUAAUGAAGGUCGACAUUGAACUCAACAGUGAAGGUUGAAGAAAAUUCUUCUCCUAGUUUCACGAGCCUAGUGUCACAAGCUGAUUCAAAUGAGCCUCCCCAUGGGCUUAUAUAGAGCCAGGAAGCUUCUAGAGACUCUUAGAGUAGGAAGAGUGUGGAAGGUUCUAGAGAAGCCUGGAGGAAUCCGCACAAUUCUACACUAUGGUGGAAGGCAUGAGAGGAGUCCGGGGCUUUCUAGAGAAUUCCAGAAGUCUCUUGUAUAUCCUUGUACAUAGGCUUGUAUUUAGAAUGAUGUAGGACAUUCUAGAAUAUACUUGAGUUGUAAGGAACCCUCCAAGGUUCCAGAGAGUUCCCCUGGUGCCUAUAAAUAGGUGAGGGCCUCAUUUGGCCAAGGCACCAAACAAGUGAGCAUCCAAACACUUGUAAAGGUUUCCUUGAGUUAGUGAAAACUUCCAUUCUUUAAAGAGUUGCCUACUAAGCUUCUUAAGCUUUUGAGUCGCGAGUGUCUUAGCCGAGCAAGCUAAGCAUUGGGGAGGAAGGCUGACUUAGCAAGAUCAAGCGUCUUGACUUGCCUAAGUGCCACACAAGCUUAGCGAACGACUAAGUCUGUGACACUAGGCUUUGAUACCAUGUAGAAGAGAGAUGGAAGAAUAAAGGGUGAAAAUUUUUUUUUCUUAAAAAUUAAAAGUUUCUACAAGGACACACACACACACACACACACACACAUAUAUAUAUAGAUAGAUAUAAUCCUAAAACCUAAAUCAGAAAUUUUCCUAACUCAACAAAUCCCUUUGAUCAUGGGAUUACUUAAUUCUCAUCUACAAAAUCACAAUUUCCUUAAUUUAUAUUCAAAUAAGCAGGAACAAAGGCACCCAAGCCUCUAAGAUGCACUCCCUAGAUUGACCUCAAAUCAUUGCUCAAUUUUUAUAGACACCAACUCUUUUAAGUGGAUACUAACUUCGUUUAGCUUUGAUAACAUGUAGUUGCUCCACCUUAAUUUCAAGAAAGAUUUAAAUUUUGGUAGAGUGAGUAUCAAGUUAAUGGAUGGGGAAGUCAAAACUUUAUAAAGAAGCUUCAAUUUGUCAAAUUAAAGCUAAAAGAAUGGAAUGAGGUGUCCUUCAUAGAUUUAAAGGAGAAAAAGAACAUUUUUACAAACAUUGUUAGCAUUAAUGUUGGUGAGUAAGAAGAGAAUCUAACCCUUGAGCUCUCAGCCUUGAGGAUUGUAAGGAAGGAGGAGCUUGAGGAGUUAUUGUUAAAGAAAGAGGUGUAUUGAAGACAAAAAUCUAAGGUUUGAUGGAAAGUUAUACUUCUAACCCCCCCUAGUGCCUCUUAAAGGUUAGAAGGAUUGAAUUGGUCUCCCAUUUCAACAAAGAGCGUUGUUUGGUUGGAUCAUCCUUUUUCAGAAGAGGAGGUUCAUAAUGUUGUUUUCUAGUUAGAUAAGGAAAAGGCCAUUAGGCCCAAUGGAUUUUAUAUUGUAGUAUAACAAGAGUGUUAGGAUGUGAUUAAAGAUGAUCUACUAAGGGCGUUCUUAGAGUUUCACAAUAAUGGAUAAUCAAUUAAAGCACCAAUGCUACCCUCAUUACCCUUAUGCCAAGAAAGAGACAAACCAACAAAAUCUUAGAUUUUAGACCUAUUAGUUUGGUCACCAACUUGCACAAGAUCAUAGGUAAGGUCUUAUCAGGCAGAUUUGAAGAGUCCUCCAAGAAAACAUUUACAUCUCCUAGGAAUCUUUUUUAUUAAGGGCUUGAAAAUUUUGGAUGUAGUUCUGAUUGCUAAUGAAUUGGUGGAUGAGAAAACGUGAUCAGGAAUAGGUGGAGUGGUCUUCAAAUAAAUUUAAAAAGGCAUAUGACAAUGUGGAUUGGGGUUUCCUAGACCACGUACUAGAGAGAAAAGGGUUUGGUACAAGAUAGAGGUCUUGGAUGAGGGGUUGCUUGUCCUCGACAAGUUUUUCAAUCUUAGUGAAUGAAAAUGCCAAAGGAUGGGAUCAAGGCAUCUAAAGGUUUAAGACAAGGAGAUCCUCUUUCCCUAUUCUUUUUUAUCAUAUCAGUUGAUGUUUAUAAUAGGAUGAUGUUGAGAGUGGAGGAGAGUAGUCUUUUAGAGGGCUUCCUAGUGGGUAGGGAUAAGAUUAUAUCUCUAGCUUUGUGAAUAGAAAAACACAUUCUUACAAUAAAUAAAAAUAUUUUUCAAAAUGAAAAUGGCGGUUAGAAAAGGCUUAAAAUUGAGAUAUAUUAGUUAUCAGUAAACUCUUAUAAAAGAUCUAGGAAUUUGGUUAGGAAAAAAGUAGCUAUCAAUAGUUGUAAAAUUUUAAAAUCAUGUGAGCUUGGUAAGUUAUAGAAUUUUAAAAUCAUGUGGCCUGGUUUCUUUUUCUUGUUGUAGCUUUGUGACCAACUACAUUUUUACAAUAAAUCAGAAUAAAAAUGGAAAGUACAAAAAGCUUAGAAUUGAGAUAUGUUUAAGUCAGCGUAUACAGCUGUGUACAGUUGUGAUGUACAACUGUGAUUUACAGCUAUGUAUACAGCUGUAAUUGAUUGUGUAGUUAUGAUUUAUAUAACUAUACAUUAUUUUGUAUAGUUGGCUAUCCUAAAAUAGCCUUGUGUACCUUGUAUAAAUACUCUUGAGAUAUAUGAAAAUAUUUAUUCAGCAAUUUAUCAAGCUGGUAUCGAAGCGAAAGUAGAGAAUUUCCAUUGCUACCUAGCUGACACUUCUUCCAUUCUUUUGCACCCUCUUCGUUACCAUAUCAUGUAUGCAAAAAUAGAUAUGAAUAUUUUUGAUAGCAAAAGUCAUCCAUGAUGACCAUUCUUGAGAUUGCCUCUCUAACAAUUUCUAUUAAGUUGGAUGGUGGUAAUUAUCGUGUUUGGUCAAAUGCAUAUUGCUAAGAAAAAGAAGAAGUGAUAUAUCACAGGAAGGAAGGUUGCACCUACAGAGGAUAAUCCAAAUUAUGAUGAAUGGGCAGUCGAAGAUGCUCUAGUCAAGUCUUGGCUCACCAAUUCCAUGACUGACCGGUUGAUGUCACACUUUGUGCAGCGUGGAAUGACUAAGGAGGUGUAGGAUGCAGUCAAGAGGAGCUAUCUUGAUGUCUCUAACUCUUCUCAAGUAUAUGAAUUGAUGAAGAAAUCCUUUCAAUCAUGUCAAGGUGGUUGUCCCCUUGCAGAAUAAUACUAGAAUAAGUUGAACUCGAUAUUCAUGGAGGUUGAUUAUCAAAGGCCCAAUGAUAUAACGUGUGUAGCUGAUAUUAAGAAACAAAGGAAUUGUAUUGCUGAGGAUCAGAUUUAUAUAUUUCUUACAGGUCUUGAUCACAGUUUGGAUCAAGUUAGAGGUCAUUUUUGGCUACCUCUCUUUUACCAAGUUUAGAGGAAGUCUAUUCACUAGUCCGUUGUGAAGCGUAGAGACAGGUCACCAUGGGAACAAAAAACUUUGAGGCUUCCGCAAUGACUGUCCAUAAGAAUGACACACAACCAACACCUUUUACUCCUCCUAUCGACUCUUCUUCUCGCUUUUGCACUCAUUGCUAUAGCACCAAACAUACAGUAGAUGUUUGUUGGAAGCAGGGUUAUUCAAAGUGGUACAAGCUUAAACAAGCUGAAAGGAAUAAUAAGAAAUCAACUCAGGUUGCUCUUACCGAUGCUACUCCUCUAGCUUUUGCUUCUCAGGUUUCUCGAUUAUCUUCUCAAAAAGGUAAUUCUUGUUUGACCUUUAUUUCUAUUGUCCCUAACACUUGGGUUAUUGAUUCAGGAGCCACUGAUCAUAUGACUAGUCAAUCUUCCUUACUUGACUCUCUAAUACCCUCACCUAUUAAGUCUAUUCAGGUGGCUAAUGGGACUUCUAUGCUAAUUUCAGGAGUUGGGAAUGCCUCGUUUUCCCCUACACUCUCCAUGUCCUUUGUCUUACUUGUGCUUAGUCUCUUCAAUAGUCUUCUUUCUAUUAGCAAAACAAACAUCUUAAUUAUUCUACAACCUUCCAUUUUACUCACUAUGUGUUUCAAGAUAAUCUUACGAAGAUGACGAUUGACAUUGGUAAGGAAAGGGGAGGUCUUUACUAUUGAAGGGGGCAAAGGAGUCACAAUUUGAAUAUAACCGUGUUUUUCAAGUAGCGAGAGAGACAUUUGAUAGAGAAAAGAUUCUUUUAUGGAAUCAUUGAUUAGGUCACUCAUUUUUUUCUUAUUAGGAAUGUUUAUUUCCCCAAUUGUUUCGAAAUAUUUUAGUUUUUAGUUUAAGGUAUGAACAAUGCAUUUAUGCUAAAAAUCAUCAUGUGCCUUUCAAAAUAAGUCUCAAUAAAAGUUUGAUUCCUCUUAUUCGUGUUUUUACCAAUGUUUUCAGAACCGGACCGGUCAUCGAACCGAAAAAGUUACCGGUUCACGGUUCAUUGGUUGGACCAGUGGUCGAACCGCGGUCGAACUGGUGACGUCAUAAAUAUGUAAUUUAUAUAUUAUUAAAAAUAAAAAUAAUUAUAAAAGAUUUAAAAUAUAUAUGAAUAAAUUAAAAAUCAAUAAUAUUAUUUUAUAUCUUUGAUAUUAUCAAAUUAAAUCAUAUUAAUAUUUUAAAUUUUAUUAAAUGAAAUAUGUAUAAUAUUUAAAUGUAAAUAUAUUAAAAAUGAAAAUUUAAACUAAUUUAUAAUUUUUAAAAAUAUUAUAUUAUUUUUAUUUGAUAUUAUAAAAAAUUUUAAAAUCCAAUAUAUAUUGUUUUGUUUGGCAUAUUAGAUAAUGAAAUGCAUGUAGCCGAGUGGUGUCCAAGCUUGGUUAAGGAACUUGAGGUUCGAGAUUCAAACCCCUUUGGUGAGAGAUUUUUAUUACUUUUUUUUCAUUGAUAUAAUGUUAGCAAUCCCACAUUGGAUUUGGAGAGGAAUAAAGAUGCAAAGGGUGGCUAUAAAAGCUAUCCUCAAUGAAGACAAAGGAAUCACUUACACUAUGGGCUCUAGACUCAGCCCACAAAAUGGCUGGAUGGGUGUGGGCCUUGUCAUAAUAAGAUAGGGCCCAGCAUCUGAAGGCAUUUUAUCCAGUGGAACUCUUCCAUUCUUCCAAAAUGAGGAGGUUAAUUUGAACCGUUUGGUUCGUUUAGAACCGUCCGGUUCCACUGGGUCACCGGUCCGACCGCUGGUUCAGGUAGUUCGUGAUCGGUUCAAUAGUUAAAUGGUUCAAUAGAGUGAAUCGGACCGGACAUGUGACCGGUCGACGGUUGAACCGGCUGGUCCAGUCCGGUUUUUAAAACAUUGGUUUUUAAAAAUGUUUAGGACUUUUUUUCUACUUCUGCCUUGGAUCAUAAAUACUUUGUCUUUUAUUGAUGACUGUAUUAGGGUGAGCUGGGUAUAUUUGCUUGAGUGUACUAAUGAUAUUCUAUAUGUUAUUCCUUUAUUUUCCGAAAUGAUUGAGUUUGUGAAGGUUUUUCACUUUGACAAUGGUCGUGAGUUUGUGAAUCAGUUCCUUGCUAAUUUAUUCCAAGAAAAUGGAAUCCUCUACUAGGCAACGUCUACAUACAUGCCACAACAAAAUGACAUAGCAGAGCAUAAAAAUUGUCACAUUCUAAAGUGGGGAGAUGGUCGAGCUCCCUUAAGAAAAGAAGACAAUAGGAUGUAAUCGGGUGUUUUCAAUAAAGUACAAGUUAGAUGAGACAAUUGAGAGGUACAAAGCUAGGCUAGUUGCUAAUGGAUACACCCACACUUACGGAAUUGACUAUCAAAAGACCUUUGCCCCUACAGUCAAGAUAAAUACUAGUAGAGUCAUACUCUCUUUUGUAGUCAAUCUAGACUAGCCAUUAAGAUAGUUUGAUAUAAAAAGUGCAUUUCUCCAUAGUGAUCUAUUAGAGGAGGUGUACAUAGAUCCCCCUUACACCAAAAGGAGGCAAAGUAUGCAAACUAAAAGAGACUUUGUAUGGAUUGAAGCAAUAGCAAAGGGCAUGGUUUGACAUGUUAAGCUACUCGAUGAAGGAGUAUGGUUUUAAACAAGCGAUGGUAGAUCACACUUUGUUCUAUAAGAGAGAUGGUCAUAACAUUACUUUGCUUAUUGUUUAUGUUGAUGACAUGAUUGUUACAGGUAGUAACCCUAUAAAAAUAAAGAAGUUUCGGAGCUAUCUAGCCAAGGAAUUUGAAAUGAAAGACUUGUGUGCUCUAAAAUACUUCUUGGGCAUGGAGGUGUCCCAGUCCAAGCAAAGUCUCUUUCUCUUACAAUGGAAGUAUACAUUAGAUUUCUUCGUUGAAAUUGGUAACUCUGCCUGCGAACAUGUAGAUACUCCAAUUGAGAUAAAUCAUGACUUGUCCAUCUAUUCUGAUUAGAUUCCAACGAACAAAGAAAGAUAUCAGAGACUAGUGAGGAAACUAACCUAUCUGGCCCACACUAGACUUGAUUUGUCAUAUGCAGUUAGCGUUGUAAGUCAAUUCAUACAUAAUAUGAGUGAUUGACAUAUGAAUGCAAUAGAUAUUAUCCUAGCCUAUUUGAAGUCCUCUAGGCAAAUGUAUUAUGUUCUCUAGAUGCAAACAUUUAGAUAUUGAGGGUUACACAAACUUUGACUUUGUCGGAUUUGGGUUGGAUAAAAAGUCUACUUCAAGGUAUGUGUCAUUUGGAGGAGGAAAUUUGGUGACCUAGAGGAGUAAGAAACAAAAUAUGGUCUCAUUGUCUAGUGUAGAAGCUAGAUAUUGUGUGUUUCAUCAUGCAACUACGGAACUUACUUGGCUUAGAAUUCUCUUAAGCGAGCUUGAGUUUGGUCCUAAGAAACCUAUGGUGCUCUUUUGUGAUAAUACAACAACUAUUAAGAUUGCAAAUAAUUUGGUACAACACAAUCGAAUUGAGCAUAUUGAACUUGACAGGAACUACAUCAAGGAUAACCUAGAUUCAAUCAUGAUAAAGGUUCCUUACAUCAAGAGUGCAGAUUAGUUAGCGGAUAUGGUGACUCAUGCUAUUACUAGUGGUUCAUUCUAUGUAUCAUUAUACAAGUUGAGCAUGUGCAAUAUCCGUGCACCAACUUGAGGGGGAGAGUCAACAUAUACAACUAUGAUGUACAACUCUGUGUAGCUGUGUGGACAACUGUGAUUUGCAACCGUAAUUGAUUGUGUAGUUGUGAUUUAUACAACUAAACAUUAUUUUGUAUAGUUGGUUAUCCUAAAAUAGCUUUGUAUACCUUAUAUAAAUACCUUUGAGAUAUAUGAAAAUAUUCAUUCAACAAUUUAUCAAGUUUAUUAUUAUUAGUCUUAUAAAAGGAGUACAAACUAAAAAAGAAUUUGGUUUAGAGAAGAGGGUAACAAUAGGUUUAAAAGGUCAUAAAAUUUUAAAAUUAUGUGAGCAUAUCGACAUUUUAAGUGACAUUUAAGUGGAAUCUACUUUUUACGUAAUAACUCAUUUAUGUUAUCAAACAUAAUAAACAGUGGGACCAUCCAUUUAGUUUUAAAUGCUAGUUACAUUUAUUAAAAGCUUUUGUAGUUUCUUUUGCAUAACUAACGAUGUUCUUAGUUGAUCUGAGAAUUAAAACAAUUUGAUGGAUAGUUAUUGCAAAUUUAAUUGUAAAAGCUGCAAAUAAGUUUGUGAUAGAACAUGAUUUGAACACACAUUCAAUGAACCUAAAUCUAGAUCUUCUUUUGUUCUUAAAACAUGGCAUAUCUUCUAGUCCAUUUGUUUAAGUUUAUGUUGAACUACCAACUUUCCUAAAAGCUUACGCUGACAGGAUUUAGGUUCAAUAUGCAUAUCAUGUUCUUUAACUCCAUCCCUCACAUGUGACCCCAUAUCUGCAUAUGGAGAGAUAAAGAGAAACAAAAUUUGAAUUCAUAUGGAACAAACUGCAAAUUUGGAUUUGUAGCAAAUGAAACAAAUGGGGAAAUGUAAAUUGCAAAGAGGUGGCUCAAACAUGAGACCUCUUGCCAAACCAAACUCUGAUACCAUGUUGAACUAUUAAUUUUCUUAAAAGUUUAAGCUUGUAGGAUUUAGGCUCAAUAUGCAUAUCAUGUUCCUUAAUAGUUUACAUAGAACUUUGUUACAUGAGCAGGUCAAGCUUCUAGCUAGCUUUAUAUGGAUUGGGAUUGAACCACAAUCUCAGUUCAAGACUCUGUGAGCAUGAACGAGUUCUGCUUGCCUUAAAAAAUUUAUUGUACAUAUGUAUUCAACAAUUUUCUGUACUAGCCUAUAUGCUUCAAUAUUGCCAUCUAGAUUAUAAAAUUGCAUUUUGUGACAUCACUUUUCUGUUGAACUAACUCUUCAGGAACCAGAAACAUCUAGAGAAUCUUCUGGGCAGUCGCCGGGCAAUAGUCCUCUAGCUAGUCCAUGGCAGAGUAUCAUUAAGAGUCUAAAUGAACUUCUUAGUACACUGACAGAAAAUUUUGUAUGUAAUUUUCUGUUCUUCAAAAUUCAAGUCAAAUUAUGAUUCUUCUUUUUUCAUGCUUAUGCUUGAAGAUUUUUGCAGGUGUCUCCAGUCCUUGUUCAGAAGAUCUUCUCUCAGAUAUUCUCUUAUAUCAAUUCACAGCUCUUUAAUAGGUAAAUUGCUCUUUUACCAUCAUAAUUGUUAUUUUCAGCAUUUUUUUCUGCUCUAUUAACUUAUGAUGUGGAAUAUUGCUAUAUGCUGCUCCAGCCUUCUGCUUCGUCGUGAAUGCUGCACAUUCAGAAAUGGGGAAUAUGUCAAGUCUGGGUUAGCUGAAUUAGAACUAUGGUGUGGCCAAACAAAAGAAGAGGUACUUUUUAAUUUAGUGAUUAGUGAUAGGCUAUCUUCACCAUAUCUUAUUUCCUUUAAAAUAUGGGUUCAAACACACUGUAUUAGUUAACACUGUAAUUACUCCAUAAAUAAACUGAACAGUGUGCUUUUUCAUUUACUGAUGUUAAUAAUGCAGUAUGUAGGCUCAUCCUGGGAUGAACUUAAGCACAUAAGGCAAGCCGUUGGAUUCUUGGUAUGCUUCUUUUUUUUCUUUUCUUUUUUUAAAGCACCAUAUGAAUGCCACUGCUCUAUAUUUUAUUGUUAUUUUAAAUUUGUACAGUUCUCUUUGAAUGUUGCAUUUGUUUUCAUAUGCUUAGUUAUUAGCUACAGUUGUUGCAUACUUAUCCAUGAUUUCUCCAAUAUCAUUGUUCCUGCCCACCCUCAGCCUAAUGACUGAAGUUUUAUUUGUGAAGUUGAUCUUCACAAACAUAGAAUUUUAUUUUGGUUUCUCUUUUGAAUAUAUUCUAUUAUUAAUUUAUAAUUACCAAAUUUGUAGUCUUUUAACUAUCAGCCUGAAAACUAUGCAUUACACUGUUGAAUGACAUGGAGUUGGAUCUGGUUGGGACGUGUCAAUUGUCAAGUAUAAUGUAAUCUCUUCUUUAGUGAAAGCAUUAUUUAUUUUUAUUUUUUUUAUAUCAGAAACGAAGAAAAAUAUAUUAAUAGAAGAAAAGAUACAAGAGAAAGAAGAGAUACAACAAAAAGAGAAGAAAACAAGAGAAGGAUGAGAGGUCCUUCCCACAAAAAACUGAACAAAAGAGAAAACACCCAACUUUAGAAAACUAAAAACAAAGAAAAACCCCAACACUCUCAAACUUUUGAAGUGCAAACCGCAGUCCAGUUGAGUUGUAAAACACUUAGAGGAACUCCUCUAAAAGCUGCAGUACAAAAGGCCCAAAGAGAGGAAUGGAAAAGAAGCAAGUCCCAUAACAGCUUGUCUACCUAUUUUUCGAAUGCUGGUCUUCCAAGACUUUUGUCAACAAAUCAGCAACUUGCUCGGACGUAGGGACGUAUGACAUGGAAACAAUUUAUUUCUCAAUCUUUUCUUUUAUAAAAUGCAUGUCUACCUCAACAUGUUUAAUAUGAUUAUGAUGCAUUGGAUUAUGAGUUAUGGCAGCUUUGUUGUCACAAUAAAGCUUCAUAAGACCACCGCUUGAAAAUUUUAAUUCUUCUAAGACUGGCUUCAGCCACAAUAGCUCACAAAUCCGUUGGGCCACAACUCUAAAUUCAGCCUCUAUAUUGCUUCUACCAACAAUAGAUUGCUUCUGGCUCCUCCAAGUCAUCAAAUUCCCUCAAACAAGAUACAAUAUCCUGACGUUGUCCUUCUAUAAUUUACUGAACCAGUCCAGUCUGCAUCUAUAAAUGCCUCUUAUGCGCCUACCUCCAUUCUUCUUGAAUAAUAGACCUUUUCCUGGGGUUCCCUUCAAAUACUUUAGUAUUUUAUGAACAACCUCCAAAUGCACCUUACAAGGAGAAUGCAUAAACUGACUCACAACACUAAUGAGGAAAGAAAUGUCUGAUCUUGUAUGGAAUAAGUUAAUGAGUUUCCUAGCAAGACGUUAAUAUCUCCCUUUGUAAAUUGGAUUACUAUCAUCUGGCUCUCCUAAUUUCAGAUUUGGAUCAUUGGAGUAUCCACCUGUAUACAACCCAUCAUACCCGUUUCUUUCAACAAGUCCAAAGUAUACUUUCUUUGAGAAAUCGAUAUACCUAUUUUGUUCCUCAUUACCUCCAUGCCAAGAAAGUACCUUAAGAAACCUAGGUCCUUGAUCUCAAACUCAGUAGCAACAACUCCUUUAAGCCUUUUCAUUUCAUCAUCAUCAUCUUUUGUCAAGAUUAGUUGUAACAACCCACUCCCAACUAUGUCAAUAUUGUUCGCUUUGAACCCAAAGGUACCCUCACGGCUUUAAAACGUGUCUACAGGGUUAAGAAAAGUUCAUACUUAUAUAGCAUUAGGAACUUUCCCCUCUAUCCGAUGUGGGAUGUCACAAAUACCUCCCUAUGCAGACACAACGUCCCCGUUGUGUCCUAUGGGAUUGUGGGGCCAAACAGACGAACACCCUUACGGGGCCAAACAAACCCCCACACCGAGGUCGAAGAUCGGCUCUUAUACCAUUUGUAACGACCCUCUCCCAACCGUGUAGAUAUUGUCCGCUUUGGACCUAAAGGGGCCCUUACGGCUUUAAAAUGCGUCUAUAGGGUUAAAAGAAGUCCAUACUUAUAUAGCGUCAGGAACUUUCCCCCCUAUCGUUGUGGGAUGUUACAAAAUUUGUAAUGACUUGUUCUCAACCGUGUAAAUAUUGUCCGCUUUGGACCUAAAGGGGCCUUCACGACUUUAAAAUGCGUUUACAGGGUUAAGGGAAGUCCAUACUUAUAUAGCGCUAGGAACUUUCCCCCCUAUCCAAUUUGGGAUGUCACAAACACCCCCCCAUGUAAACACAACGUCCUCAUUGUGUCCCACAGGAUUGCGGGGCCAAACAGAUGAACAUCCCUACGGGGCCAAACAAACCCCCACACCCAGGUUGGAGAUCGGCUCUGAUACCAUUUAUAACGACCCGCUCCCAACUGUGUAGAUACUGUCCACUUGGACCUAAAGGGGCCCUCGCAACUUUAAAACGCGUCUUCAGGGUUAAGAGAAGUCCAUACUUAUAUAGCAUCAGAAACUUUCCCCCCUAUCCGAUGUGGGAUGUCACAUUAGUUGUCAAAAUAAACAAUGUGAAUGGUAGUCUUGUUGUCUAAAAAACAAUGUAUGAUCUGUUUGAGCCUAAUCAUAACCUUAUUGUUGAAUUGUUUUAGUAAACCUAUCAGACCAUGCUUUGGAUGAUUGUUUGAGCCCUUAAAGAGGUUUUUUGAUCUUGUAAACUUGCCCAUCUCUUCUAGAUUCAUCAAAAUCUGGUGGUAAGUCCAUGUAUACUUCUUCCUUAAGAUCCCCGAUAAGAAAGGCAUUAUUAACAUCUAUUCCUUUCUAUUGUCAGUAUGAAAAAUUGUAUUUUUGUAUGAAACUGAUUUUGGAUCAUGGAAUGAACAUUUUUAAAAAUUUGUUAAGCAUUUAAUUUUUCCUUCAAGAGGUAUACCCAACAUACAUGUGUGUGAUCAUUGAUAAAAGUAAUGAAUCAUUUUUUUAUUUAAGUGUUUUCAUCCUAAGGAUAUCCCCAAAGAUUGUUGUGUAUCAUAGCAAAUGGUUUUAACACUUUGUAGGGUCGAAAAGGAUAGAAAAUAUGAGAAUGUUUAGCUAACUAGCAUGCUUCACGUUGCAAAUUAACAAGCUUUUUAUUUCAAAACAAAGAAGGAAGCAAAGUUUUUAAAUACGGAAAGCUUGGAUGACCUAACCUACAUUGCCAUAACAUUAUUUCUUGUUCUCUAGACAUAGAUGGAGAAUUACAACUAGAGAUUUGAGCAUGUUUGUUCACAUUGGUGUCCUUCACAAAGUAUUAUAAUCCUUCAUGUUCUCUAGCAUUGCUAAUCCUCUUUCCCAAAUGCAAGUCCUAAAAUUUACAUGAAUCAUAUGAGAAUUUGAGAAUAUAAUCCAUGUGUUUUGUCAGUUUACUAAUUGAAAGGAAAUUGCAUGAUAAUUUUAAGACAUGGACAACAAAUUUUCAAAAAAUAUUAAGAGCAAUUUCUAUUGUCCCAAUCCUUGUAACUACAGAAAACAACCCAUCAACAAUCUUAACUCUAAGUUUCCUGGACUUGGGGUGUAUGACAAGAAAAAACUUGCACAACCUGUCAUAUGGUUUGUAGCACUUGAAUUGAUGAUCCAAGGUUCAUCAAACUCAAUCUAGGAAUUUAAGGCUAGGGAAAAAAUAUCUUUUGUACUAAGAGAGAAGUAUUGGACGACUGUGAUAGUUGUGCAAGAGUAAUCAUCUUUGCAAAUUGCUCUUAUUGCUCUCUACUAAGAGAAAGUUGAUAGGCUUUGGGACUGUCUCCAUCCAUUUUUGUAGUAUCACUUUCAAUCGCUGCCUACAAUUCCCAUGUCAUAUCACCAUUUGAACAGAUGGGACCACUGAAGGUAAUUUUUGUCGUUAAGUUUGUGGGUUGUAAUUUGCAGGGGGUUACUAUCUGGAAAAACAAUGGGAGCAAUUGUAGGGGUCGGCUGAGAGGUUUUUGUCAAAACCUCGGAGCAGUCAUCCUUGCUCACACCUCAGAGCAGUCAUGGCAUUUUUCACCAUUUUUUUUUUCUCAACUGAUUUCUAGCUCUAGUACCAUGUAACCAGAUGCAGGAAGGAAAAACUAAUGCAUUGCCAUUCAAUUCAAAAGAAGAAAAAACUACUGAAUGAAUGGACUCGGUUACUAACGGAAGACCUAAACCGAAUCCUUUAUUCUAGGGAUAAACAACUUUGAAUUUAAAAUCCUAAAAAAUAGGAUUACAACCUAACAAACAGAUAACUAAAAGAUUCGAAAUAAAAAAUAAAAAAAUAAAAAAAUAAAAAAAAUAAAAAAAAUAAAAAACAAAAAAAGAAUAGAAUCUUUGACAUUUCCAUUGCUGUGUUUUUCUUUUUUCUUUUUUCUUUGUAAUAAAAGAUUUUGACAAGUAUGCUGGCUACACAUGACUUGAAUGACUGAAAAAUGAUCCAUUGUUGAUAUUAAUCUGUUUCUUUCUAUAUCCUCACUGCCCCAAUUUCUGAAUUCUUCGAAAAUGAAAGUGCUUGGUUGUAUUUGAUGUUUAUUUGAGACUAUAACAUAUUCUCAUACGGUGAUUAGCUAGUUUUUGAAUUACAUUUUCUUUUGUUGGUAGUAUAAUUUUGUGAUCAGUGAUUACUAAAAUUUUUUGUUCCUAGGAGAUAGGAUUUUAUUUUAUACAUCCUUUCUUAACUUGAUUCAUGGUACACUUUGUUGUGCAGGUCAUUCACCAAAAAUCCAGAAUUUCCUAUGAUGAUUUAACAAAUGACCUCUGCCCGGUUAGCCUCUCUUUCUGUCUUUCUCAUCAUUUGGUUUAUAGGAAUUAUUAAGGUUCAACUAUGAUGGUGAAAAUAAUUUUUAAUUGCCAUGAUGAAGUUGGGGAGCCGGUGUCAAGAGAAAUUAUAACAUUUGUUGGGCUCAUGGAAAAUACAUGUGGUCUUGGUCACAUGAUUUUCACUUGUCCCAUGGGAUGACUUUUCUCAGCAUGUGCAAUAUAUAUAUAAACAAUUGUAUUUUUUUUAUAUUGAUGGAGGAAUUUACAUUGAAUAUAUACAAGGUUCAUGGGGAAAACAAUAAAGGAAAAUAAUCCUUGAAUAUAUUGAAUAUAGACACUAUUAGCUAACUACAUAAAUAAGGAAGAUAUUCCUAAUUUAUAGCCCUAAUUUUAUCUCUAAUUUACAACCCUUUUUAUAGCUUGUAUAAGCUGUAAAUUUCCAAUAAAUCAUAAUCAGUUAAAUUGUCAAUUUUCACAAUCAACGAAGACUCCACUGGAGAGUAUAUAUUUUCCAUUCCUAGCUUGCUUGUGAUUUUUUGAAAAGACUAACUAGCUAGUACAUUGGUUGGAAUGUCAACCAACUGCUCCUUUGUCGAAACAUAUGGAGAACAGAUUAAGCCACCAUCUAGUUUUUCCUUGAUAAAGUGAUGGUCCACCUCCACAUGCUUCGUAUGGUCAUGUUUAACAAGAUUAUGGACAAUAUUGAUUGUUGACUUGUUAUCACAAUACAUCUUUGUACUUCUUUCUCAUUUGAUUCUAAGGUCAUUGAGAAUAAUUUGUAGCCACAACAACUCAAAUAUUCCAUGAACUAUAUAUAGAUCUAAAAUUGGCCUCUGCACUUGAUCUUGUAAUAUUCGAUUGCUUCUCACUUCUUCAUGUCAUUGAAUUUCCUCCAAGUUCAAUAACUUGAAGUUGACCUUCUAUUUACUACUGAUUCUACCUAGUCUGCAUUAUUGUAUGCUUCUAAGGUUAAUUCUCUAUUUCUUCUAUAAAGAAUUUGUUUCCUUAGAGUAGCUUUCACAUAGCGUAUAAUCCUGUACACUGCGUCUAGAUGUAUCUCUCUAGGUAUUUUGCAUGAAUUAACUUACCACACUGACUGCAUAUGCUCUAUCUGGCCUAGUAUGUAACAGAUAGAUUAGUUUACCAACUAAACACUAAUAUUCCCCACGAUCUACUACAACAUCCUCUUUGGCCUCUCUCGAUCUAUGGUUCUAUUUAGUGGAGGACUAAAUACAAUAGUUGGACUCAUAGGUUGAAAGAAUAAAUUUUUAAAUAAGAACUCAGAUUCAUUGACUUCCAUAUCUUCACUUAGUGACUCCUAAAGCUAAGGAUGAGAAAAGAAGGAUUGAUUUCUAUUGAAAAAGAGAGAGAGAAAACCUUAAUUCUCAUUCAUAUUGUUAACUUCUUACAAUAGAGAAAUAUAUAUACAAGGUUAGGUUGAACUAACUAUCAUAUAUGUGACCUAUAUUAAGAAAGGAAAGAAACUUGUACACUAUAAAUACAUUAUACUCAACACUCCCCCUCAAGCUGGAGCAUAUAUGUCAUAUGCACCAAGCUUGUUACAAAUGUAUUUAAUCCUAGGACCUCUAAGAGAUUUAGUGAAGAUGUCUGCUAGUUGAUCAUUUGAAUUAACAAAACUUGUAGCAACACACCCUGAUGCGAUCUUCUCUCUAAUGAAGUGACAAUCAACUUCAAUAUGCUUGGUCCUUUCAUGAAAGAUUGGAUUGGAUGCAAUAUGUAAUGCGGCCUAAUUGUCACAGACUAGCUUUAUCUAUUCAUCUUUUCCAAAUCUCAAUUCUUGAAGGAGUUGCUUCAACCAUAUGAGUUCACAUGUUGUCAAAGCCAUAGCUCGAUACUCAACUUCAACGCUUGAUCUAGACACUUCAUCUUGUUUCUUACUCUUCCAGGAUAUUAAGUUACCUCCAAUAAAAACACAAUACCUUGAGGUGGAACGCCUAUCUGAGGGUGAACCAACCCAGUCUGCAUCUGUGUAACCAACAAUUUGGGUAUGGCCCUUGUCUUCAUACAACAUACCUUGGCCUGGUGUUCAUUUAAUAUAUCGAAGAAUGCGGAUCACAGCAUCCCAAUGGUUGUCACAUGGUGACUGUAGAAAUUGACUAACCACACUCACAGGAAAAGAGAUGUCUGGCUGAGUGAUGGUGAGGUAGUUCAGUUUGCCUACAAGUCGUCGAUAUCUCCUAGGAUCUCUUGGAGGCUCCCCCUGUCCUGAUACAAGUUUGACAUUUGGAUCCAUAGGAGUGUCAACAGGUUUACAUUCUAACAUACCUGUUUCUUCUAAGGUGUCUAAGACAUACUUCCUUUGUGACAUAACCACACCUGAACUGGAUUGAGCUAUUUCAAGUCCCAGAAAGUACUUGAGUUUGCCCAAGUCUUUGGUUUGAAAGUGGUUGAAAAGGUGUUGCUUUAGUCUUUGGAUACCCUCUUGAUCACUGCCUGUAAUGACAAUGUCAUCCACAUAAACUACCAAAUAGAAUGGAAGACAACUAGGAAGUACCCAAUUCAAAAUUUAAAUUAGCCAAAUGGGGCCAUCUAACUAGAUCCAUCCAAACAAGGUACAAGCUCCAGUGAAAGGAUGAUUCGAAAUCAGUUGGUUGUAGUGGAGAGAAAGAUUUUCCAGGUGAAGUCUGAAGAUUACAAUGGAGGAAAAUGGCUUUCAAUAACAGAGAGAAGCCGAGGUUUUGUGGUUUCUUUAGAUUUUGGAGAGGAAGAGACGGGUUGGCUAGUGGAGCAGUUAGAGAAAGCUGUGGAGUUGGAGGAUUCCAGGGGUUACAUUCGAAAAAUGAGGGGCAAGACCAGGACUCAUCUGAUGGAAAUAUGUUUUAAUAGCAGAGGGUGUUAUAUGAAAAUCACAGAAUACAGUGCAAAGAGAAAACCUUUGGUCUUAGUUGUUCCAAGAGGUGUUAAUGGCUGUGGGUGGGAAAACCUCAGGAAGGUGAUUGCUUCAGUCCAAGAGUUAUCUGUUCAAGUUGGGAGAGAAUCGAAGGAGACGCAAAACAAGCUUCGAGAGAGCAAAGGAAUGUACAGAGGUGAGAGGACCUACGCUGAGGUGGUUGCAGAGAAAGGAACAAGGAAUGGUGCAGGGAUGCCAGUUGGAAAAUGGGCAAGAGCGGUGAUUUGUGAAGGCAAAGGAGAUAUACGAGACUGGUGUGAGGUUGGAAAAGCUAUAGCGAGAAGGGUGGGGAUGAAAGGAAUGGUAUCCGUAACACCCAUUUCUGCUUACAAAGGGUGUUUUUUUGUGGAAAAUGCAAGGAAAGCUCAGUGGUUUCAAGAAAGAGGUAGUUUUACAGUAAGAGGAGAGGUUUUUGCUCUGAGGAGAUGGUCGCCAGAAGAGAACUCAGUGGUGAGAGGAAAAUUUAGACGGGGGUGGCUGGAACUAAGAGGUCUCCCUUUCCACCUGUGGGAUGAGGUGCAGUUGAGUCAUAUUUUGCAGCAGUGGGGGAGGGUAACGGAGGUGGCAAGAAACUCCUUGAAGUUUGUUGAUUUGUCGAAAGUAACAUUGCAGGUGGAAAUGCUUCCAAAGGUCGUGCUCCCAGCGCUAUUAGAGGUAGAAGAUGGAGAUUGGACAUACACGGUUGCAGUUACAGUCACCGGAGAAGAUGACGGAGAAGACGAUGGAGGAGACUCUAUCAAGCCUGAGUCGAGUCGCAGCAAGGACGAGAUGAGGUCAGCCGGGGGUUGCGUCUUGCAGAAGCCACAGAUGGUUGAGGGGCUACGAGCUAUUGACAGGACCAGUGACUGCCAAAGAUGGAUGCCCCGUCAUCGUCUCCAUUUUAGCUCUUCAGAUUCAAAAUCGGCUAAGGGGGAGAAAGGAAAGGGAAGGUGGGUGUCGGGCCCAAUGGAGGGAAGCAAUGUCGGGCCAACACCAGACGUCUUUGAAGCCCGUUCUGUUUGGGCCCAAGUUGGGGCGAAGGAUGUUGGGCCAAUAGCGGGUCCAGCCCAUAAAGAAUCUUCAAAUGGUGGCCCAGUUGUAUCUUCGUCUUCAAAGCUCCAAAGACCAGGGCUCUCUGCAAAGAAUAAAGCGUCGGAAGGUCUUCCUCAAGCGUCGUCAAAGACGAAGGGAUCUCCAGUCUCCGUAAGGCGCAGAGCAAGAAGUGGGCCGCCGAGUUUUGACGAGGCGUCUUCUUCCCCGAAGCGUAGCUUUGAAGGAGGCGGCUCACUGGUGACAAAUCGAGACAUUUCUCGGGGCAAAUCUCACUCCAGAAAGAGUGAUUUCUCCACUGGUUUGGAAACAUCCAAAGUUUCCACCGGCGAGACAGAGGGGGAAGAGGGGAUUUUGCAAUGCAAACUGAUCAAUGAGGUGCGUAAUCCUAUCUCAGCUGUUUCUGAGCGAGAUCUUCCUCUGUUUGGGGCUUUUGAGUCGAUUCUUAUUCCCGAAACCUCGGUUUCUUUGGGUCAUCCUUUUUGUGUCCACUCUUCUUCUUCGUAUCCGGUGGAGUCAAGCCAAGCUUUUCAGCGUGGAUCUGUUUCUAUCUCUCCUGUGGUGUAUGAUAACCAUCGUGGUGGUGCGUCCUGUUCGAAAGGUGUGGUGGUCCCCCUAGAAACCUCUAACCAAAAAUCUAAAGACCGACCUUUCCUUAGGGAAAUUCCUAGCAACCUUGAGGUGCGUGGUGACUCAGGUGAGGCUUUGUUCCCUGUGCAAGAACCUUCCACUAUCCCGUUGGAAGGUUUUCAGGUUGAGGGGCUUACGCCUCGGAAGAUGGUCAAGGUUCAGUCGGUUCUGGAGAGUUUGAGGGUUAGCAUUGUCAGGGAUAAUGGGAAAGGUGUGGUAGGAGAGAACAGGAAUCCUCUCUCUGCGGACAAGGUUUAUUCCAGAAGAAAGAAGAAUAAGGAUUCUGGAACUCGAGGAGAGGAUUAGUUCUGGGUGCGGGUUGUGUUGGGUUGUGAUUGUUCUCAUGAAGAUUUUAAGCUGGAAUACAAGAGGUUUAGGUUCUAGGAAGAAAAGGAGGACUGUGAGAAGGUUUUUAAGUACUCAAAACCCAGAUGUGGUGAUGUUGCAGGAAACUAAGCGUGAAAUUUGGGAUAGGAGGUUAGUGAGUAGUAUUUGGAAAGGUAAAAGUCUGGAUUGGGUUGCUCUUCCUGCUUGUGGGGCGUCGGGGGGGAUUGUGAUCUUGUGGGAUUCAGUUAAGUUCAAUUGUUCAGAGAAGGUGUUAGGAUCCUUCUCUGUUACUGUAAAAUUGAACUUUGAUGAGGAAGGGUCUUUUUGGCUAAGCUCAGUGUAUGGCCCGAAUAAGGCAGUGUGGAGGGAGGACUUUUGGUUGGAACUUCAAGAUCUACAUGGUCUAACUUUCCCAAGGUGGUGUGUAGGAGGGGAUUUUAACGUGAUCAGGAGGAUAUCUGAGAAGAUGGGUGAUUCUAGGCUUACAGUCAACAUGAGGCGUUUUGACGAGUUUAUAAGGGAAAGUGGUUUGUUGGACCCCCCUCUUAGGAAUGCGGCUUUUACAUGGUCAAACAUGCAAGUCGAUCCUAUUUGCAAGAGGUUAGAUAGGUUUUUGUUCUCUGCAGAGUGGGAUUCUUUUUUCUCUCAAAAUAUUCAAGAGGCCCUUCCUAGAUAGACCUCUGACCAUAGCCCAAUUUGCUUGGAAACUAAUCCUUUUAUGUGGGGGCUGACUCCUUUUAGGUUUGAGAAUAUGUGGUUGCUCCAUCCUGAGUUUAAAGAGAAGUUUAGAGAAUGGUGGCAAGAGUGUACGGUUGAAGGUUGGGAAGGUCACAAAUUUAUGAGGAAACUAAAGUUUAUUAAAUCAAAGUUGAAAGAGUGGAAUACAAGGGUCUUUGGAGAUUUAAGAGAGAGGAAAAAACAUAUUCUUACGGACUUAGGCAGAAUUGAUAGAAUUGAACAAGAAGGGAAUUUAAAUCUUGAGCUGGUCUCGGAAAGGAUCUUAAGAAGGAAGGAGUUAGAGGAUCUGUUAUUGAAGGAAGAGGUUCAAUGGAGACAAAAAUCUAGGGUUAAGUGGAUUAAAGAAGGGGAUUGCAACUCUAAGUUUUUUCACAGAGUGGCCACUGGAAAAAGAAGUAGGAAGUAUAUAAAGUCUCUGAUUUCUGAGAGGGGGGAGACUUUAAAUAACAUUGAGGUUAUUUCUGAGGAGAUUGUAAAUUUCUUUGGGAAUCUUUAUUCCAAACCCGAGGGUGAUUCUUGGAAGAUUGAAGGGAUUGAUUGGGCCCCUAUUUCUGAAGAGAGUGCAAUUUGGUUGGAUAGGCCGUUUUCGGAAGAGGAGGUUCGAAUGGCAGUUUUCCAAUUGAAUAAGGAAAAGGCCCCUGGCCCUGAUGGCUUUACCUUAGCAGUUUAUCAAGAGUGUUGGGAUGUGAUAAAAGAGGAUCUUAUGAGGGUGUUUUUUGAGUUCCACACUAAAGGGGUAAUAAAUCAAAGCACAAAUGCGACUUUCAUUGCUAUGGUGCCUAAGAAAAGUCAAACUUUCAAAAUCUCAGAUUAUAGACCUAUUAGUUUGGUUACAAGUUUAUAUAAGAUAAUUGCUAAGGUCUUAUCAGGGCGUUUACGCAAAGUUCUUCAUGAAACAAUCUUUGGCUCGCAAGGAGCCUUUGUGGAAGGGAGACAAAUAUUGGAUGCUGUAUUGAUAGCCAAUGAAGUGGUGGAUGAGAAAAGAAGGUCAGGAGAGGAAGGGGUAGUUUUCAAAAUUGAUUUUGAGAAGGCCUAUGAUCAUGUGGAGUGGGGCUUUUUAGAUCAUGUGCUUCAAAGGAAGGGGUUCAGCCAGAAAUGGAGAUCUUGGAUGAGGGGUUGUUUAUCUUCUUCUAGUUUUGCUAUCCUAGUUAAUGGGAAUGCAAAGGGUUGGGUUAAAGCCUUUAGAGGAUUGAGACAGGGAGAUCCUCUUUCUCCUUUCCUUUUUACUCUAGUAGCAGAUGUUCUAAGUAGGUUGAUGAUUAGAGCUGAGGAAACUGGGAUAACUGAGGGUUUCCUUGUGGGGAGGGAUAGGACUAGAAUGUCCUUGUUGCAGUUUGCUGAUGAUACCAUAUUUUUCUCUAAAGCCUCUUUGGAUCUUCUUCAAAACCUUAAGAUUAUCCUUUUGGUUUUUGGGCAAGUAUCUGGUUUAAAAAUCAACUUAGAAAAAAGC
rnacentral:lncRNA from 1 species